ACGAGAGGUGGCAGGGCACAGGGUGAGCCCCGGGGUUCCUGUGCGCUGCGCGCCGCGCCUCGUGGAGCCAACACCUCCUGGCUCCCGCUCGCUCCCUCUUACCCUUCCUGCCCCAUCUCGGGCAGACGGCCGGGGCUGCUGGAAAGUACAACUCCUGGUUCUUUUCCGUGCCCCACCUGCACAUUUGGUUUUAUCCCAGAGAUGUGUCAGUACAGUUAGUUGGCUCCCGGUCCGGUGUGUGGACGGGAAAUCAUUCCCUGGCGACUCCAGCAUGAGCGAAGAAACUAGUGGAGCGGCCAAACGGAACUGGAGGCGCGCGGGCGACCGUGCAGGAGGAAACGGUCUUAGAGCCCACCAUUUGGUGGGGAACCAGCAGGGAGCGGGGGUGGGUGGGGAUUGGCGGGUUUAGAUGUCUGCAGACAAAGUCAAGGCCUCAGGUCGGGGAGCUAAUGCACUUCCGUAGUAUAUUGGAUGAAUAUGUCAUCUCUCUAUGAGGCGAGCUGCUCAGCUAAGAAUGAGGACUCCUCCCUUCCCGCCGCCCCAGGCUUUCUCCUUGAGGGCUGUGAAGGGGCGAUUGUUAAACUUCAAGGUGGGCCUGAGAAGCAGGUGUUUCCAGAAUGUAGCAAAAUGAGAUGUGGUAUCCCAUUAGUGACAUUCUCAGAAUUGGUCCCAUCUAAAAUGUUCUCCUCAGUACUUCUGGAGAAGAGGGAGACUUUUUACAUGCCCAGGUCACACCUGGGCCAGGUCAUUGGACACAUCAGAGUGAGUAUUAUCUACCUGAGUGCACGCAGGUUUCCAGGACUGCAUAGGGUUAUCAGGCAGAUACAUACUUAGACUCCCUCCUCUCUUUCUGAGCUUCUAACUCAUGUUCUCAAACGAACUGCAGAUAAUCAACGCAGAUCGUGAUAAUAACUGAUGGAAUUCUUGCUGUGUGCCAGAUGCGUGCAGAGACAUUACAAGUGCAUUAUCUCACUGUAUGAUCACUUCUGUCCAGAGAGGCUCCACCCCAUCCCCAGAUGGGAAAUGAGAAACUAAGCGAGGGGAGGUUGACUCAGCUGCCCUGUGUUAAAUAAGAUAUAGCUGCACCCCAAACAGCUGUAAUGGGAAUAGUAAUUGAGUGUGGAGUCAAAACCUUGUGUCUGGUUGACCACAGAGCCUGUGCUCUUGACCACAUAGGCACACACUUCUAUCCAUGGUUUCCGCCUAAGUAAAAGGAGUGUUAGGUUUGUUGAAAACAGAAAUAUAUGGAAUUGCAAAUACAGCCACAUACCUGCUCACAUGGGAGGAUCAGGCCCACCUGUCUUUGCUGUGGUGGCAGGGGGCAGGGAGAAGGAGGAUGACAGGUGGUUCUCUUCCUGCUCACCAAUGGUCCCCGCUGGGUAAUUCCUGGAGGGGUGGAAUGGAAAGGGAGGGGUGGUCAGAUCUCUGAGCAGGUGAACGGAUACUGCAGUCUUCCUGAGGCCAUUUGACAGGUAUGCAGGGAUGCCUUGAACUUGCAGAGUAUGUGGCCUGGCUGUCACAUAGUCACUCAGAAGCUCUUCCUCAGGUGUCUAGAAUAUGGCACAGAAUGCAAUGAAAACCCAAAGUUCAUUUCCGGAGGAAUCGGAAACUUAUGGGGUGGGCUUAUAAUUUGGGAUAGAUUCCUGCCUAUACCCAUAGGAACUUGAAGGAUAACCUGGUUUCCCUUACUCAUCAGGCUUUUCUCAGGGACUCAGGUUACUUUAGUAUCAGUUUCUUUGUUUUAUGUUUUUCUUUCUUCUUUUUUUUUUUUUUUUUGAGACAGGGUUUGCUCUGUCAUCGGGGCUGGAGUGCAGUGGUGCGAUCAUAGCUCACUGUAGCGUCGAACUCCUGGGCUUAAGUCAUUCUCCAGCCUCAGCCUCCCAAGUAGCUGGGUCUACAGGUGUGCACCACUCCACAGUGCUAAAUUUUUUUUUAAUUUUUUGUAGAGACAGGGUCUUGCUAGGUUGCCCAGGCUGGCCUCAAACUCCUGGCUUUAAACAAUCCUCCCUCCUGGGCCUCCCAAAGUGUGGAUGACAGGUGUGAGCCACCAUGCCUGGCCCCGGUAUUAGUUCCAGUUAGAAGCAUUAAAUAUUAUAGAGCUAUACCCCACACUUCCCUAAUAGGAAUAAUAAAAUUCUGUAAUAAUAAAGGAAUUCUUGCUGUGUGCCAGAUGUGUGCAAAGACAUUACAAAUGCAUUAUCUCACAAUAAGUUCACAUCUGUCCAGAGAGGCUUCACCUCACCCCCAGAUGGGAAAGGAGAAAACUAGGUGAAAGGAGGUUACUUUCUAUACGCCUCUGACGUACAUGAACCAUUGGAUCUUUACCAUGACCUGUGAGAUGGGUGCUCUGGCUCACAGUCAUCCAGCUAGUGAGUGUCAGAGGUGGGAACUGAACCUGAAAGGUCAGGCUUUAGAAAGGAGCUCCUGCACCAAUGUCUCCAACUUUAGCACGUGCAUCAGAAUCACUGAAGUGCCCUUUAAGACAGAUUUCUGGGCCGCUUGCCCAAGUCUGGGGUGGGGCCUGAGAAUUUGCCUCUCUAACAAACUUGACCCACUGCCUGGCACUCUGCUGCCUACACCAAGCAGAGCAAAGGAAGAAAACCCAUCUGCCCUCCAAAGCCAGCUCAUUUUGGGGACUUACGGUAAGAGCUUGCUUCAGAUCCACUGGUGUCCUGCUUCAUUCUCGAUGCCCACAGCGCCUGACUUCACUAGUCUGGGAAUGUAAACAGUUGGUCUUGAACUCCUGACCUGACCGUAAACAGUUCCCGGACUGGUGGAGUCAGGUGCUGUGGGGCAGGAAGGCUGAGUCUUCCUGACUUGCAAGUUGGUAGCAAGGCUGAGUUGAGAGCUUUUCCUGGGCAAGCUAAGAAUGCAAGCUGCAACUAGGCAGAUGCUGUUGUCCUGACUGCCCAGUGUCAUCUGCAGUGACAUGAAGCCUGCAGGCAAAGAGCAGGGAAAAACUGUGAAAUAUAGGGGACUCUUUCUCCACUUGGCCCCUCAAGCACCCCCAUCCUUUGCCAGUGCUUGUUUUGGGUAAUGCGUGUCCCAUCUGUUGAUGCCCCAGGCCUGCGGGGGCCACCUGCUGCAGUGGGAGGCUGUGGGGAGGAGGCCAAGGGCUCCUAGUGCCUGGGGAGACGAGACCUGGACUUCACGUGUUCUCUUGCUCUGCAGUUGGUCUUCAUUCAUUGCUCCCGAGAGUGGAGAAGGAAACCUUGAGCUUAAUGUUCUUUAUUCCCUUGGAAUUAAUGGAGAGGCUGCUAGAGCCGGUGCGCUGUGCAUAUAAGAGGGCCAAUGUCACUUGGUACAGAGUGGGAGCUGGGCAUUUUAAAGAUUGCUCAAGUUUCUUCAAUCUUUCCUGUGGACUCCUGUGAAGUCCAAGCAGAAGGGAUUUAUGGAGGCUCUACUUUCCCCUAGCUUUUUUUUUUUUUUUUUUUUUUUUGAGGUGGAGUCUUGCUCUGUCACUGUGGCACGACCCUGGCUCACUGCAAUCUGCACCUCCUGGGUUCAAGUGAUUCUCCUGCCUCAACCUCAGUAGAAGCUGGGAUUACAGCUGUGUGCCACCAUGCCUGGCUAAUUUUUGUAUUUUUAGUAGAGAUGGAGUUUUGCCAUUUUGGCCAGGCUGGUCUUCAACUCCUGACCUCAACUGCUCCACCAACCUCAGCCUCCCAAAGUGCUGGGAUUAUAAACAUGAGCCACCAUGCCUGGCCUGUAGGCUAUUAUUAUUAUUUCUUUUUUUUUGAGACAGAGUCUCACUCUGUCACUCAGGCUAGAGUGCAGUGAUGCAAUCAUAGCUCACUGCAACCUAUACUUCCCUGGCUCAAGUGAUCUUCCCACUUCAGCCUCCCUAGUAGCCGGGACUCCAAGUACGUGCCACCAUGCCCAGCUAAUUUUUGUACUGUUUGUAGAGAUGGGGUUCUGCCAUGUUGCAGGAGUGGUUUCAAACUCUUGGGUUCAACUGAUUCCCACCCUCACCCCUUCCCCAUCCUCCUCCUCAGCCCUGUCCUUGGCCUCCCAAAGUGCUGAGAUUAGAGGUAUGAGCCAUAGCACCUUGACCAUAUACCUUUUAAGGGCUAGAACCAUAUGUUAGACUUUUUUUUUUUUUUUUGAGACCGAGUCUUACUAUGUCACCCAGGCUGGAGUGCAGUGGCGCAAUCUCAGCUCACUACAACCUCCACCUCCCAGGUUCAAGUGAUUCUCCUGCCUUAGACUCCCGAGUAGCUGGGAUUAUAGGCAUGCACUACCAUGCCUGGCUAACUUUUGCAUUUUUAGUAGAGACAGGGUUUCACCAUAUUGGCCUGGCUGGUCUCAAACUCCUGACCUCAUGAUCCACCCACCUUGACCUCCCAAUGUGCUGGGAUCAUAGGUGUGAGCCACUGCGCCCGGCCUUUAUUUUGGUCUUUUAAUUCUACCUCCGUCCCUCUGCACACCACAUCCUCUCAAACAUAAUGGGGCACGUAAGGUUCAUUGGUUGUUCAAGUGGUUGGGAGCUAGCUUUAGGAGGUAAAUGAUGGCCAGACAGGAAAUAACCUCAAGGUUGUCAAGGCUGGGUUGGGUUGGAUGGAGUGGAGAGGGGUGGGGACUGGACUGGAACGACUCAUCUAGGGAGACUGAGUGCGAGGAAGCCAUCUUGCCUGUGCCAUCUUGAGGCUCCUCUAGUCUUCACCUUCUUGAAUGACGGGAACAAGAUCUUUCAAGGACCCCGGAAGUGAGGCAGUCAGCCAGGUUAGGGGCCAGCAAGUUUCAGUGUGUUUUUGUUAAAUGUAUGAUUUCAUAACAUGAAUAUGGCUUUCUGGUUAACCCUUGAACAAUGCAGAGGUUAGGAAUGCCAACCCUUGCACAGUCAACAAUCCAAGUAUAACUUUUGACUCCCCCAGAACUUAACUAUUAACAGCCUACUCUUGACCGGAAUGCUUACUGGUAACAUACGCAGUUGAUAAACACAUAUUUUCUAUGUUGUGUGUAUUAUGCAUUAUAUUCUUAUAAAACGUCAGUUACAGAAAGGGAAAUGUUAUUAAGAAAAUAGCGGGCUGGGCAUGGUGGCUCACACCUGUAAUCCCAGCAUUUGGGGAGACUGAGGCAGGUGGGUCACCUGAGGUCAGGAGUUUGAGAUCAGCCUGACCAACAUGGUGAAAUCCCACCUCUACUAAAAAUUUAAAAAUUAGCCAGGCAUGGUGAUCCAUGCCUGAAAUCCCAUCUUCUUGGGAGGCCGAGGCAGGAGAGUCACUUGAACCUGGGAGGCAGAGGUUGCAGUGAGUCAAGAUUGUGCCACUGCACUCCAGCCUGGGUGACAGAGCAAGAAUCUGUCUCAGAAAAGAAAAAAAAGAUAAAAUUGUAUGGGCGAGACACAUUGGCUCAUGCCUGUAAUCCUUGUACUAUGUGAAGCUGAGGUGAGAAGAUCACUUGGGGCCAGGAAUUUGAGACCAGCCUAGGCAACAUAGCAAGACCCCAUCUUUACAAAAGUUAGCCAGGUAUGGUGGUGCAUACCUGUAGUCCCAGCUCUUCAGGAGGCUGAGGUGGGAGGAUCUUUUGAGCCUAAGAGUUCCAGGCUACAGUGAGCUAUGGAUGAUGCCACUGUUCUCCAGCCUUCUGUCUCAAAAAAAAAAAAAAAAAGAAAAGAAAAUCAUGUGGAAGAGGAAAUAUAUUUACUAUUAAUUGAGCAGAAGUGAAUUAUUGUAAAGGUCUUCAUUCUGGUUGUCUUCCUAUUGAGCAGGCUGAGGAAGAGGAGGAGGAGGAGGAGGAGGAAGGACUGGUCUUGCUGUCUCAGGGGUGGCAGAAGAGGAAGAAAAUCUAUGUACAGGUGGACCCAUGCAGUUCAAUCCCUUGUUGUUCAAGGAUCAACUGCAUAUUCUUUUUUGAAGAAUAAAAUUAAUUCAUAUUUAUUAUAGAAAUUUGGAAAAUCUAGCUAGGUGCAGUGGCUCACCCCUGUAAUUUCAGCACUUUGGGAGGCCGAGGUGGGUGGAUUACGAGGUCAGGAGUUCAAGACCAGCCUGGCCAACAUAGUGAAAACCCAUCUCUACUAAAAAUAUAAAAAUUAUCCAGGCAUGGUGGUGCAUGCCUAUAGUCCCAAUUACUUGGGAGGCUGAGGCAGGAGAAUCUCUUGAACCCUGGAGGUGGAGGUUGCAGUGAGCCGAGAUUAUGCCACUGUACUCCAGCCUGGGCAACAGAGUGAGACUUUGUCUCAAAACAAAAACAAAAACAAAGACCAUUUGGAAAAUCUAAAAUGAUUACACAGGAGACAGUGCUGUGUUAAAAAAAAAUUUAAAAUCAUGGCCUGCCCAUUUUGUAUGAGUGUUAAGAAAGUGGACCUAGUGGCUGGGCAUGGUGGCUCACGCCUAUAAUACCAGCACUUUGGGAGGCCGAGGCGGGUAGAUCAGUUGAGGUCAGGAGUUCCAGACCGGUCUGGUUAGCAUGAUAAAUCCUGUCUCUAUAAAAAAUACAAAAAUUAGCAGGGUGUGGUGGCUCAUGCCUGUAAUCCCAGCUACUCUGGAAAGUGAGACAGGAGAAUCACUUGAACCUGGGAGGCAGAAGUUGCAGUGAGCUGAGAUUGUGCCACUGCAUCCAACCUGAGUAAUGGAGUGAGAUUCUGUCUCAAAUAAAUAGGAAAGUGGACCUGGGGAUGGAGGAAUUUCUUGUUAGAAUUCUUCCAUACAUGAUUUUUGACUUUCUAUCAUGUUUCCAUCACCUUCUGAGGAAGUUACUUAUUUCUCUCAUUUUAGAGGUAAGACAGGUGAGAAAGAGAUGUACUAUGUGACUUCUCCAGGAUGACACAGCUAGGGAAGGGCAGAGCCAGGGUUCAGGAAUACCAGGGGACUUUCUCCCAAGCCCAGCAUGUUCCUGAGGAGUAAGGGGAGGAGAUGGAGAGUGCGGAGCUUCCCUUGCCCCUUGCAGCCUCCAAGCCCUAGCGUCAUCCCCUCCCUCCUCAGUCUCCCCACGCAGGGCGCACAUCAGAGCUGUGUCCCUGUCAGCCCAGGGCAGCUCUGUCAGAAGAAGAAAUGCCAUUGAUUCAACUUAGGUACCAAAUUUAGAUUUCAGAAGGAUAUUGAAUAGAAGUGGGGUUGCUUGAAGAAAUUGAAAAUCUUUGUAGAAAUGGAGAGAAGUCAAAAUUACCUCUUUCAGCCCCGCCCCCAAGCCACUCAGGCACUUGAAGCUGGAAUCUGAGUUACUGGUUCCUAUGUAGCCCCAGCCCAGCACAAAGCACCCAAGUGAACUCCCUAGGCAGGGAAAGUGACUUGGCACAGAGAGACAGAGGGAGAUUUGCUCUCACAGGUCUCCAAGGUGGAGGCAGAAAGAGAAGGAUGUGGCCGGGCAUGGUGGCUCAUGUCUGUAAUUUCAGCACUUUGGGAAGCUGAGGCAGGCAGAUCACUUGAGGUCAGGAGUUCCAGACCAGCCUGGCCAACAUGGUGAAAACCUGUCUCUACUAAAAAUACAAAAAUGAGCCGGGCGUGGUGGCGGGUGCCUGUAAUCCUAGCUGCUUGGGAGGCUAAGGCAGGAAAACUGCUUGAACCUGGGAGGCAGAGGCUGCAGUGAGCAGAGAUUGUGCCACUGCAGUCCAGCCUGGGAGACAAAGAGAGACUCUGUCUUAAAAAACAAAAACAAAAGCACCAAAACCUAAAACAAACAGAAAGAUGGUUUUGGAAAGCAUCCCUUUUCAUGAAUGCCAAAGGUGGCCUGGUGUUAUAUUUCUUCUUUCUUGUAGCCCACAGAUGCUGGAUGGUACCAGCAUUUCCUGCAGGAGGGAACUAAGGGAGAGAAAGGGCAAAUGUACAUAUUAAAAUCAGUCGCUACAAGGAACAUCAGAAGGAAACCAGGGCAGUGCCAGCCUUCAUUUGCUGCAUGCAGACAUUCUGCAGGGACUGAGGACAGGCAAGGACCCUGGGUUGCAGAAGGCUUGGUCCCAGAGCCAGGGCCUGGGUGCCAGAGGGAUACCAACUUCCUUUACUUUCAAGGACAAAUGGCGUCUGGUUGCAGCUGUUCCCUCCUGAAAAGAUAGGGAGUUGUGUUGUUGGACAGCCUCAGAUGCAGGCACAUCUGUGUUGGCAGGUGAGAGCCACAGGCACCAUGCAUUAGGGGUAGCAGCCUCCUGCCCAGCCUAGAAGUAGCAGGAGAGGCAGCCAGUGCCAUUCUUGCUGAAGAAACCCAAUCCGCCUGACCUUUGCUUGCUGCCAAAUCUGGAGUGUCCUUUGUGGACAGGAAGAAAGCUCAGUAAUCACUUAGAGCUAAGAGUGACCGCAGGAAGAUAGAACAUGAGCACACCCAAGCCCAAGGCCAAUGAAGAAGCAACCGAAGAUGCGACGACCUGCAAGUCUUUAAGAAGGUAUUAGAAGAGACAAGGUGCAGUGCUCAUGCCUGCAAUCCCAGCGCUUUGCCUGCUUUAUAUUUGUUGGCAGAGGCAGAAGGAUGGCGUAAGACCAGAAGUUUGAGACUAGCUGGGGCAACAUAGCAAGACCUUGUCUCUGAAAAAAAUAAAAAAUACAUUAUGGUGCAUGCUUGUGGUGGGAGGAUCCCUGGAGGAUCACUUGAACGUAGGAGUUCGAGGCUGCAGUGAGCCAUGAUUGUGGUACUGCACUCCAUCCAGCCUGGGUGACAGAGCAAGACCCAAACUCUAAAAAAACCCUGAAAACCAGUGUAUUAAAAGGACACUCAGGGCCAGGUGCGGUGGCUCAUGCGUGUAAUCCCAGCACUUUGGGAGGCCAAGGAGGGUGGAUCACCAGGUCAGGAGUUCGAGAUCAGCUUGGCCAAGAUGGUGAAGCCCCAUCUCUACUAAAACUACAAAAAUUACCCAGGCGCAGCGGUGGGUGCUUGUAAUCCCAGCUAUGCGGGAAGCUGAGGCAGGAGAAUCACUUGAACCUGGGAGGUGGAGGUUAGUGAGCCGAGACCACGCCACUGCACUGUAGACUGGGAAGCAGAGUGAGACUCCAUCUCAAAAAGAAAGAAAGAGAAGAAGAGAGAAAGAGGGAAAGGAAAGGAAAGGAGACACUCAGACAGACUGAGUUGAUUUCCACUUCUGUUACUUAUUACCUCUGUGACCUUGGUCAAGUCCCUUCACUUUUUAAGUGUAAAAUGGGACCAUCGUAUGUCAGGGUGAAUUGAAAUUCAAAAUGUAUAGCACAAGCAUGAAACCCAACACAUGGCAGCUGUGGGAAUGCACAUUCCUUAUAGGAAGGGUCGUGCUUGCUGCUUCCCACUGUAUGCCCCAGACACUUAGAGCUGCCCUGGCCCAUAGUAGGUCCUCAGAUGUUUCUCUUCUUUCCACCUUUUUUCCUUCCUUUCUCUCUUCCCUCCCUCCCUUCCUUCCCUCUGUUGCCCAGACUGGUGUGCAGUGGCAUAUCUUUGCGCGCUACAACCUCUGCCUCCUGGGUUCAAGUGAUCCGUCUGCCUCAGCCUCCCUAGUGGUCGGAAUUACAGGCAUGCAACACUACAUCUGGCCGUUUUGUGUGUGUGUGUAUAUUUUUAGUAGAGAUGGGGUUUCACCAUGUUCGCCGGGCUGGUCUUGAAUUCCUGACCUCAAACGAUCCUCCUGCCUCAGCCUUCCAGUGUUGGGAUUACAGGAGUGAGCCACUGUGCCCAGCCCUCAGGAGUUGCUUCCUGAAUGGAUGCAUGGACAGCUAGUGAUGCUUCAUAGCAGAGUGUGGUCAUUGUUACAUGCUAUGUGAAUCUCAAACGAGGUGAGAGGAAGUCCUUUUCCUUGUAACUUUCUUGGACUCUUUGGACUACUCUGAGAUCCUUCUCUCCUCCAUGUGUUUAUCUGAGCCAAACUCCAUUUCCUUCUUCCUUCUCCUUGAAUCCCCUGCUCCUCCUCUUACUUAUAAUGGUGGUGCCUUUGGCUGAUGGCUCUUGAUGCCUAGGAGAAGAAAUGGCAGCCUGUCUCUGUCAAACCCUGUUCCAGAACAAGAUGGUCAUUCAUAUCCAUCAGUGAGUAUUUCCUUGCUGUGAAGCGUGGGCUAGGUGCUAAGAGUACAAUGAGGUGCAGAGAUCAUGCUUCCUUAGGCACUGUGGAAUAGUGGGAAGGUACCUUUGUGGCUCUACCAGGGAUACGCUAUGUCCCUAAAGAAUAUUAGAUUGGCUGGGUGCAGUGGCUCAUGCCUGUGAUUCCAGCACUUUGGGAGGCUGAAGCAGGUGGAUCACAUGAGGUCAGGAGUUUGAGACCAGUUUGGACAACAUAGUGAGACCCCAUUUCUACUUAAAAAAAAAAAAAGAAUGUAGCAGUAGGUACACAGAGCUGGUGUUGCUGGCAUGGCUGGCCCUGCCAUUCCUCUGAGUUCAGGACUCAACCUACCCAUGAUUUCAGUUACAUGUCACUUGUUUCCUCUGUGACUCCGUGAUCACAUCCAGAACUAAGAGUCAACAGCUGGGAUUGCUGCAUUUGGAAAAUCUGAAUCUGCUUUGGGGGGCUCUGACCUGAGCCGUCUCCGGGGCUCUCUUACACCUCAUUGAGGUCCAGUCCCCACCCCUGCCACUGUUUCUGGCUUCCUAUGCUCCUGUCUUUCCAUAUCUGGACUGGUGAGUCCGUCAGAAGUCCCAGCUACUCGGGAGGCUGAGGUGGGAGGCUCUCUUUUGAGCCCAGGAGCUUGAGACUGCAGUGAGCUAUGAUUGUGCCACUGCACUCCAGCCUGGGUGACAGAGUGAGACCCUGUUCCUAAAAUAUUAAUAACAAUAAAUCAUUAAAAAUAGGGUCUGCAUGCUUCUAGGACAGUAAGUAGCAAACAACCGUGAGCAAGCAGGUGAGAGAACAGGCUGACCUAGUGCUGAGCACUCAGAGUGCUGCAAGCUUGCUUUAUUUUCAUUUCUUACCCACUCUGCUUCUCUGGUUAAUUUUAUAAAGUUCAUACGGGUUUAUUUUUUUAAUUUUAUUUUUUGAGAUGGAGUCUCACUCUGUUGCCCAGACUAGAGUGCAGUGGUGCGAUCUCAGCUCACUGCAACCUCCACCUCCUCGGUUCAAGCGAUUCUCCUGCCUCAGCCUCCUGAGUAGCUGGGAUUACAGGCACCUGCCACCAUGUACCGCUAGUUUUUGUAUUUUUAGUAGAGACGGGGUUUCAUCAUAUUGGCCAGGAUGGUCUCCCAACUCCUGACCUCAAGUGCUGCGCCUGCUUCGGCCUCCCAAAGUGCUGGAGUUACAGGUGUGAGCCAUGCUGCCGGGCCCAGAGAGGUUUUUUUUAAAGGAAUAUUUCUGUCCCUUUCUAUUUCCCAUACCUCCCUGAGCCAAACAGGAGGUGGGCUGGGGUGGAGGGAUUCUUUGGGAGGCGGUGGAGAGGGGUGAGAGGAGGAGAGGGGUGGGAGGAAUGGUCUGACUCCAGACUCUGUGUCCUCUCAGCUCCCCGGCCCUGACUGACUGCUGAUCUCAAAUGACACAGAGAUUGGUUCCUCCCAGGUGCCACCUCAGCAGCCCACUUCUUGCUGGCAUUGUCAUAGCUGUGGCUGCUGCAACAACUAAUUCCCCUGGGACAUGCUGAGGCCACUGCCAACCCCGGGUCCUCUCACUCCUUCUGAAUUCAGAGCUCAUGUUGCAGGGCAAGACCUGACUUCCCAGCAGCUCCUUAAGGGACAAGAGAUGGAAUUCAGAUGUACAAGGAAGCCAACUCCCCAUGGGGUGGGUUUUGGCCGGGAAGAUGCAGGGGGACAGGAACCACAAAGAAGCUGAUAAAUUAUCUCCCACUCAGCAUGUGCAGUCUGGAGAUGCAGUGCCUAUGUGGCCCUUUGGGAAGAAGUUUAGAGAGAGGGAGUGCUCACUGCAUUCCCUCCCUUCUAGCUCCCUGCCACCCUCCCUUCCACAGCACUUAGAAUCAACGCAGGACUCAGAGGGGCUGAAAGACCCUCCUCUUCCCUAGUGAUUGCUGCUCAUGGGUCUUUAGACUGCUCUGACAUGUGGAUGACAAUCGGCCGAGCCACUGAUAGAGAAGUUUUCCCUUUUCAUCACGUCCCUGUCAUUGCUAACUGCAAAGUCUCCACUUUGCCAUGCAUGAGUGGUAAACUGCUGCCGUAAUUACGGGCGGCCACGUCCGGACACCAACACAUGAGUGCGCUGACAGUUAGUGGGGGACAGGGCUCUGGAAGCACUUCCUCCAUCCUAGCCUCAGACACCACGGCUAAUUGUGUGAUUAGUGUUUACUGAGGAAUGUCCUGUGGUUACACACAGCUUGUUAGGUGCUACGCUUCCCCGGUGAAAGAACAUGAAUUUGGGUUCAGGAGACCACGGUUCUGGGUUUACUCUAUUUCUAGGGACCAAAUUAUAUGCAUCUGUAAAAUGAGACCUGUAUGACUGUAGGGUCCUUUAACUCUCAGAUUAUGACUAACAUCUCUUUUCCUCAUUGUAUUUAGUCAGGGUUCUCUAGAGGGACGGGACGAAUAGGAUAUAUAUAUAUAUAUAUAUAUAUAUAUAUAUAUAUAUAUGUAAAGGGGAAUUUACUAAGUAUAACUUACACGAUCACAAGGUCCCACGAUAGGCUGUCUGCAAGCUGAGGAGCAAGGAGAGCCAGUCUGAGUCCCAAAACUGAAGAACCUGGAGUCUGAUGUUGAAGGGCUGGAGGCAUCUGCCAUGGGAGAAAGAUGCAGGCUGGGAGGCCAGGCCAGUCUCUGCUUUUCACAUUUUCUGCCUGCUUCAUAUUAACCGGCAGCUGAUUAGAUGGUGCCCUCCAGGUUAAGGGUGGGUCUGCCCUUCCCCAGCCCACUGACUCAAAUGUUCAUCUCUUUUGGGAACACUCACACAGACACACCCAGGAUCAAUACUUUGUGUCCUUCAGUCCAGUCAAGUUGACACGCAGUAUUAACCGUCACAUUCAUCUUAUUAAAAUCUCAUGCAUUCUCCAAGGACUCUGACUCUCUCUCUCUCUCUCUCUCUCUUUCUUUCUUUCUUUUUUUUUUUUUUUUUUUUUUGAUGGAGUCUCUCUCUGUCACCCAGGCUGGAGUGCAGUAGCACGAUCUUGCCUCACGGCAACCUCCACCUCCAAGGUUCCACUGAUUCUCCUGCCUCAGCCUCCCAGGUACCUGGGACUACAGGUGUGCGCCACCAUGUCCGGCUAAUUUUUUGUAUUUUUAGUAGAGAUGGGGUUUCACUAUGUUGGCCAGGCUGGUCUCAAACUCUUGACCUCGUGAUCCACCCGCCUCAGCCUCCCAAAGUGCUGGGACUACAGGCCUGAGUCAUCGUGCCUGACCUCUUUAAGGACCAUUUCAAAAGUCCUUUAUCCCUGAAACCUUCCCUGGCCACCUUGUCAGAGUUAAACGUCCUUUCUUCUCAUGUCUAUGGUAUGUUCAGUGGAUCUUCUUUUAGCCCUUGUUCAUCUCUGUCUUUCCUCAAAAUGAAUUGUUGACACAGCCAGCCCAAUAGUUUCUAAGAGAAUGGGUUUCAUUCAUUUUUUAAAAAUCCCUCUGUGUCAUUUAGGGAUUAAUUUGUCAGCAAGUAACUUGUUCUCACUUCACUGGUUUGGCAUCAUAGUGUGAUAGCUCAUGUUGUUAUAUUUCGUUUGGUCUUUUCCUCAUGGUUACAAGAUGCCUGCCACAGUUCCAGUCAUUGCAUCUUUGUACCAGGUAGGGAUUCCUGUACCAGUGGCCACAUCUGCUCUUAUUGUUGACCCAGGAAAGACGAUUUCUUCCAGAAGUCUACCUGGUAGGCUCCCAUAUAUGAGCUAGGACACAGUCGCAUGACCAACUUUGCUUCAAGAGAAUAGUUGCUUUCCAGAGAAAAUAAGAACAGUGGUAGCAAAAGAGAAGGAGAGAGGGAAUGGAAUUGCAUUCUGAAACCACAGUGUCUACCAUGCCCUCCCUACCCCAAUACAUUCCAUUGAAUAUUAAAAUUUAGCAAGACUCUUGGCCAACUAGAAAUUCAAUCAACUAGAAUACUGAAGGCUGUGGGUAACAUACAUACAUAAUUGUAUUGUGUCUGUUAAGAUGCACAUUUUUAUAUCUCUGAAAUUGGGCAUUUUGAUCAGUGACAUGUCAUCAUUUAAUUAGUAGUGUACUUUUUCUCCCUCAUGGUACAUAAAAAUGGUGAGGCCUGGCACGGUGGCUCAUGCCUGUAAUCCCAGCACUUUGGGAGGCCGAGGCAGGUGGAUCAUGAGGUCAGGAGUUUGAGACCCUUGGCCAAUAUGGGGGAACCCUGUCUCUACUAAAAGUACAAAAAAAAUUAGCCAGGCAUGGUGGCACAUGCCUGUAGUACCAGCUACUUGAGAGGCUGAGGCAGAAGAAUCACCUGAACCCAGGAUGCAGAGGUUGCAGUGAGCUGAGAUCUCACCACUGCACUCCAGCCUGGGCGAAAGAGCAAGAAUCUGUGUAAAACAACAACAGGAAUGGUGUAUCUUACAGCUGAAGGCAUCUUAGAUUUGAUGGAAUGCAGUAGUAUUAUAGUAUUUUUUUUGUAUAUAUGUAUACCAUACUUAACCAUACACAACUAUUUGAUUUUGUUGUUUUGAGACAAGGUCUUGCUCUGUCUCCAAGGCUGGAAUGCAGCGGCACCAUCAUUGCUCACUGCAGCCUCAAACUCCUGGGCUUACGUGAUCCUUCUGCUUCAGCCUCCCAAGUAGCUGGAACUCCAGUUUCUACUGAAAGGCACUGGCAUUUUUCAAGAUGAGACAAACUGAAAAGAUGUUGCCCAGACUGGGAUGCAGUGGUGCCACGCCUCAUAGCUCAUUGUAAUCUCGAACUCCUGGACUCAAGCAACCCAUCUGCCUCAGCCUCCUGAGUAGCUGGGACUAUUUUACCCACCAUGCCUGGCUAAUUAAAAAAAAUUUUUUUAGAGAUAGGGUCUUGCUAUGUUUCCCAGGUUAUUCUCAAACUCCUGGGCUCAGGUGCUCCCAAAGCGUUGGGAUUACAGGUUUGAGCCAACACACCUGGCCUUUAAGGACUUUUGCUAAACUGCUUUCCAUGAGAUUUCUAUUUUCACCAGCAAUGUAUAAAAUCUUUGUGUCACCUUAUCCUCUCCCACAAUGAAUAGAUAUUAUAAUUUUAAAUACCUUGCUAAGUUGAUAGAUUAUAAUCACAUGCUGUUUUAGUUUUUAUUUUCUUGAUUGGUAAUGAAAUCGAAUAUUUUUCCAAAUGUCAUUUAUUUGCAUUUGCAUUUUUGUAAAAUUCGAAGUUCUGUUUAUCUGUUAAAAACCAUUUAUCAGUUGAUUAAUUCAAUUGUUGAUUUGCAUGCAUUUUUAAUGCCAUGAAGGAAUUAUCUUUGUCUUUAAUAUUUAUUAUGAAUAUGCUUUCCACAAACUCAUUUCUUACUUUAAAUGUUGAUAAAUUUUUUGGAUGGGAUGGGCAGAUUUUAGAUUUUUUAUAGAGUAUUUAAACUUACAAAGUUUUUUCUCAUUCAGUAUCUGAAAAAAUAUUCAGAUAUAUUUUUUCUGGUUUUAUUUAAAAAUUAAUUUGAAUUUUUAGCAUAUAACUUUUUUUUUAUACUCGGGAAUGAGUUUCUAACUUGAUCAUUGUUUUAGAUAGUUCAGCCCCAUUGGUUGGGUAAUGCUACUUUUCCAUCUGAUUUGUAAUCCACUUUUAUUGGGCUCUCAAUUGUUACAUUCACAAAGAAAGAUAAUUUUUCUGAGAUGUCUAUUCUAUUUCAACAUUGUAUCUAUACUGAAUCAUUGCCACUUUACGUUAAUUAUAAGAUGAUAUUAGUUCCCCUCCUUUACCCAUUUAUCUUCUCUCCUCCUUUCCUUUUCCUUCAUUCCUCCCUUCCCUUUUUGUCUUCCCUUCCUUCCUUCCUCCUUCCUUCCUUCUCUUCUCUUUCCCUCCCUCCUUCUUUCCCUCCCUCCUUCUGUUCUCCUUCCUUGUCUCCCUCCUUCCUUCCCUCCCUCCCUCCCUCCCUCCUUCCUUCCCUCCUUCCUCCCUCCCUCCCUUCCUCCCUCACUUCCUUCCUUCCAUCUAUCCUUCUUGUUGCUAUGCCUGUUUUUGGUCACACCUUCCACGUAACUGGAAUUCUUACUUUUGUUAUUCUCUCAAAGAUGAGUAACAUUCCUGAAGAAAAGAUACAUAAAUAAUGGAUUUUCAGAGAUCUUAUUUUAUAUUUUUAUUUUGCCUUUAUUUGGCUAACUAUGGAAGACCUUUUUCAGAAUAUUUCCCUUGAAUGCUAUGGACAUUAUAUUCUGGCAUUUAAUAUUGCUGUGUAUAAGUUGAGUCCAUCUAUCCAUCCAUCCAUCCAGAAUAAGCUACAUAAUUUAUAGGGUCCUGUGAAAAAUGAGACUGUGAGCUCCGUGCUCAAUAAUUAUUAAUAAUUUCAAGAUGAUGAAGGAGGUUCAUUGAACUAAGGGUAGGACUCUUCUGAAUGUAGGGCCCUGUGUGACUGCUUGAAGUCACCCUUGCAGCUAUCCAUCCAUCGACACCCAUCCUAUGGCUACUUACUGAACAUCCACUAUGUGUUGUGUGCUUUGAAGGAAAGAAACCUCAAGGUACUGUCUAGUGAAGGACACAGGUGGUCAUGAGGGAAGUGUGCACAGCUGCUGUGGUCAUACAGGGGAGAGAGAAAUCCAUCAGGCACAGCUGCCAGAGACAGCUUUCUGGAGAUGAUACACUGAUCCAAAGCUUUUGCUCUGAGUGAUGUGGCGAGGCUUAGGACGGUUUUGAGCUCACAGGAGUGAACGUGCUGCAAUCCAAGUGCUUUGAAAGGAUCACUGUACUGCGUGGAAGACAGACGGUGCAGGACGAGCAUAGAAGCAGUUAGGAAGCUAUUGCAAUGAUCCAGGCAAGGGAAGAGGAAAAUCAUGACCUGGAUCUGCAUGGAGGCAGUGAGAAGCGGUCAGAUCCUGAAUAUAUUUUCAAGAAAGCACUAUUAAGAUGUGUUGAUGAAACGGAUAUGAGGUAUGAGAGAAAGAGAGUAGUUAAGAAUGGCUUCAAGUUUUCUACCCUGAUCAAUGAGAAAAAUGAUGCCAUUCACGGAAACGGGGAAGACUCGCAGGGGAACAGGUUUGGGGACAGAUGAAACAUUCAAUUUUGGAUGUGUUGCUUCUGAUGCUUAUUAAACAACCAAGUGGAGAUGUUGUCCAGAGGGUUGGAUCUACCAUUCUAGAUCUGGGUUUGGUUGACAUGGGGGAAGAGAAGGGAGGGAAGAGGCUUUGCCAGUGAAGUUGCUACAGAAGAGUAGAGAAGAAAGACCUUUUUGAUAAAAUGUUCUUGGUGGCUGACUGGAUAUGUAGAAUAAGGAAGCAGAUUCAGAAAAUGAAACUGACCAGUCUUUAAGGCCCCUUUGCCCCAGUCAUGAACCAAACUAUCAUGAGGGGGAUUGGAUUUUGGAGUCAUAGUUCUUUCUUUUGGAAAGAGCUUGUCUUGGAACUGUUUCUUCUAGUUUAGAUUCCUGUGGGAGAUGGUGAAGGUAAUUUCUUGAUAUUUGUUUAUGAUGAAGAGAGAAUGUGCUGUCAUUGAAGUGUUGAAUUAUUAAUGAUUGAGGAGGAAAUGACUUCUUCAGAAACACGAAUUCUGAAUGCCUCUUAGAUGGAGGCCAGAUAGUAAAUUAGCUCUUUCAGUGACAGAACUAAAGAGUUGAUGCAGAUCGAAAAGGGAUGUAGUGAUUGCCUUCUGUGGGUCUAGGAUCAACUUAGGAUUUAUGACAUUCAGCACAUUUUAGAAUCUCUUUUCUCAUAGUAUCCAUUACUCUGAUUACCUUUUAGUAGCUGUUUUACAAGAAUCAGAAAGUACGGUAGAGACUGUCUGCCAUGUAUGGUAGGGAGAAGGCUGGGUACUCUAGACCCAAUGGAUUUGGAGGGCAAACAGAGCAUUUUUGAUAUCAAGGAAAGAGCUAAAUGGGUCCCAGGCCACUCUAAUCCAACAUUGGGAGACAAUGCUUCUUGUGUCUGACUGUCUUGUCACGGGAGUGUUGGUGAAUUAUGCAUGGCAAAAGUCAUGUAGGUGUCUGGGUUGUCUGGAUUAGUCCAUUUUCACACUGCUGCAAAGAUACUAUCUGAAGCUGCAUAAUUUAUAAAGAAAGGAGGUUUAAUUGACUCUCGGUUCUGCAUGGCUGGGAGCCCUCAGGAAGCUUACAAUCAUGGUGGAAGGUGAAGGGGAAGCAAGGAUAUUUUACAUGGAAGCAGGAGAGAGAGAGAAGAGGGGAAGUGCCCGACAUUUAUCUGACAACCAGAUCUCACGAGAACUCACUCACUGUCAUGAGAACAGCAAGGGGGAGAGUCACCCCAUUCCAAUCACCUCCCACUAGGAUCCUCCUUCCACUCGUGGGGACUACAAUUUGGGAUGAGAUUUGAGUGGGGACAUAGAGUGAAAUCAUUUCAUUGUCCCCUUUCAAAAUUAAGAGAAAGUUUUGCACAGAAGGGAAAUAGUGGGGCAGUGCACUUAGGUGGGGCUUGCAAUGUGUGGUUCUGUCUUCAACAAGACAUUUAAUAAAGGGAUAGCGACAACGGAGCCAACACAUUUUCAAACAAUGUGCUCACCUGGUGAGUGUGUGUGUGCGUGUGAUAAGGUACUUGUUUUAUUCUGCUCUUAAUCAUUCAUUCACUUUUAAAGAUGAGGGUAAGUUAUCUAAGGACGAUUGCUGAGCUCUGAAAUGAAUUAGAACCCAUCUUUAUUUCCAAGCCAAUGAUUUAAAUAUUAUAUAGCUCAUUUAUAAUCGAAUAAAACUGUGGUGGCUCUUUGUAGAUUUUUGAAGCCAUCUUCUCUAAGAAGCCUGUUUUGUUUUCUCUUUUUGAAAUAAACAUGAAUUUGCAUGAGAAGCAAGGAGCCUCUAAAAGAAAUCAAUAAAAUUAACCGGAACUGGAUUUCACACUUUGAAUGCAUUACGUCUUUCUGUUAGGGGAGAAAUAAGAGAAGCUGAGGCUCAUAAAAAAGUGACCUACUUGAAGAAGAUGAAUAUUUAAAAUAAGAGCUUUAAAAAUAAUUCACUUUGCAUUGGUCACCAUAGCUCAAAAUAACAAGAAAACCUAACAAAAAGACAGGUUUCUCAGUAUUGGGAAGGGAAGCUGGCACUGUCUUGAGGGCAAUACUUAUGUACCCAGGGGGAACACUAGGCUUGGAGUCUGAAAAUCUGAGUUCAAGCUCUGGCACUGCUACUUAGUUUAUUUGAGAUAUGUAUUGGUCUGUUUUAACACUGGUGAUAUAGGCAUACCUGAGACUGGGCAAUUUACAAAGGAAAGAGGUUUAAUGGACUCACAGUUCCACAUGGCUGGGGAGGCCUCACAAUCAUGGCCGAAGGUGAAAGGUAUGUCUCACAUGGUGAUAGACAAGAGAAGAGAAAGAAGAGAACUUGUGCAGGGAGACUCCCCUUUAUAAAACCACUGGAUUUUGUGAGAUGUACUUACUGUCAUGACAAUAGCAAGGGAAAGACCAGCCCCCAUGAUUCAGUUAUCUCCUACCAGGUCCCUCCCAAGACACAUGGGGAUUAUGGGAGCUACAAUUCAAGAUGAGAUUUGGGUGGGGACACAGCCAAACCAUGUCAACAUACCUGUUUUCAUUUUGACCCUUAAAACUAUUUUACUUUGUAUUGCAAAAGACAUUUGCUUUACUUGACAUUAAUGUUGAAACUGAACCUGCUUAAUUUCUGCAGGGGCAGAAUUGAAGAAAGACUUUAGGAGUUCAGGUCAAGCUAGGUCCUUAGAGUUGAGGGGCUGAGUAGGUGGAGUAUGUGACUAUGCAAACCUCCUUGGCUGGGUGGGACAGUGCAAGGAUGUCCAUGAAAGCUGCUCUUUUUUUUUCCACAUGAAACUCUCUUCACCUCUUGUUUGCAAGGGCCCUCUGUAAAUGGGUCAUGUACCAUGCGUUGCAUAAACAUGCAGAGAGGUGCUCACGGCAUGUCCUGCUGAAGAGCUGUGCUUUGCAGAGUUGUAGUGACUUCAUAGUUCAAAUGUAGUGUGCACAUCUGUUGAUUUUUCUUUGCAAAUGGAUGUUGGUGCUCAAGGUAGAGCAGCCUUGUAGCGCUAAAGGAAACUUCUCUGUUCAGCUAAGUUCUGUAUGUGCUUGGGCAAGUAGUUCUGAAUUCCUUUGUGAAUAAAAUGGAAACUAUGCCUAUCAAAUUUGUUCAGAAAUCCACCUUUAUUAUUUACUUGGGCUUUAAGUUUUAUUGUAUUUUUUAUUUAUUUUGAGACGGAGUUUCGCUCUUGUUACCCAGGCUGGAGUGCAAUGGCGCGAUCUCGGCUCACCGCAACCUCCGCCUCCUGGGUUCAGGCAAGUCUCCUGCCUCAGCCUCCUGAGUAGCUGGGACUACAGGCGUGCAACACCAUGCCCAGAUAAUUUUUGUAUUUUUAGUAGAGACGGGGUUUCACCAUGUUGACCAGGAUGGUCUCGAUCUCUUGACCUCAUGAUCCACCCACCUUGGCCUCCCAAAGUACUGGGAUUAUAGGCAUGAGCCACCUCACCCUGCAAAGUUUUAUUUUAAAAGAGUUUUGUUGGCCAGGUAUGGUAGCUUAUGGCCUGUAAUCCCAGCACUUUGGGAUGCCGAGGUGGGUGGAUCACAAGGUCAAGACAUCAAGACCAUCCUGGCCAACAUGGUGAAACCCCAUCUCUACUAAAAAUACAAAAAUUAACUGGACAUGGGGGCACACACCUGUAGUCCCAGCUAAUCAGGAAACUGAGACUGGAGAAUUGCUCCAACCUGGGCAACAAAAGCAAGACUCCUUCCCAAAAAAAGAAAAGUUUUAUUAAAGUAUAACUGACAUACAAUAAACUGCACAUGUUUAAAGGGUACAAUUUGAUAAGCUUUAACGUACGCAUGCACCAGUGAAAUCAUCCCCAUGAUCAAGUUAGUGACACAUCCAUCACCCCCAAAAGACUUUGUAUGAAUGCUGUGUAAUGAAUGAAUGAAUGAAAGUGAAUGAACUUUUCCGUUUCCAUAAAAAUGUCCAGGAUGCUGUUUUUCUCCUGCCUUUUCAAAGAUGCAGAUCAAGAAGGGAUACAGUCAGUUUAAAGGCUGAAGCUCUAUUAUUAUUUAUUUUAUUCUUUUGAGACAGGGUCUCGCUCUGUUGCCCAGGCUGGAGUGCAGUGGUGUUAUCUCGGCUCACUGCAACCUCUGCCUCCUGGUUCAAGCGAUUUUCAUGCCUCAGCCUCCUGAGUAGCUGAGAUUACAGGCAUGUGCGAUCACUCCUGGCUAAUUCUUUCAUUUUUAGUAGAGACAGGGUUUCACCUUGUUGGCCAGGCUGGUUUUGAACUCCCGACCUUAGGUGAUCCACCCACCUCGGCCUCCCAAAGUGUUGGGAUUACAGGCAUGAACCACCGCACCCAGCCUGAAGCUUUAAAAAGGAGCUUAUUUUGAAAUUUGAGUGUACAUGUGUGUGUGUGUGCGUGUGUGUGUGUCAUGAUGAGGGGUACUUGAUAUUUUAACAUUGGCAAAGUGAUGGCUGAUUGAGAAUUAAGUUGCCCCCAGAUAAUUCAAGGUGUAUGAUACAUUUCUCCCUAGGAGAUACAGAUCAGGCAUCAUAUGAUUUUGAUUUUUGCUUUUUAAUUAAAGUUGAUUAAACAAAUGCCAUUUUACUUUAUAGCUAUUUUAAAUGACCUGUGCUUCUUAGUUCUCCCCCGCCCCUCCCUUUUUCUUCUUUAUUUCUAGAUAGGUCAGAGGCAGAAUGUCCCAAACAUAUGAUUAGUAGGAUGUCUCUCUGGGAAUUUUUUUCCCCUUAAAGUGCCUUAAAGUGAGUUUGAGGAAGAAACAGCGCAAAGGCAAAAAUGUAAAAGAAGCUGUUUAUCUCUGAAUAAUUCUUAUAGAAAGAUAAUUUAAGUUUCAUUAGAAAUCUUUGAUUUCCAAUUACUUGGAAGUGAAUGUGCUCAUCAUCAGUGUACUUUAUUCAGUUUUCUGUGCUUUGUGAAAGUAGUGAUCAUAGAACGUAAAAAUGUAAAAUGCUCGGGCACGGUGGCUCUCGCCUGUAAUCCCAGUGCUCUGGGAGACUGAGGUGAGAGAAUUGCUUGAGGCCAGGAGUUCAAGACCAGUCUAAGCAACAUAGUGAGACACCCCCUCAUCCCCAUAAAAAAAAUUUAAAAACAAAAUUAGCCACGAGUAGCUGUUACUAGGGAGGAUGAAUGAGGUGGGACGAUAGCUUGAACUCAGCAGUUCAAUGCUACAGUGAGCUAUGACUGCACCACUGCACUCCAGCCUGGGCAACAGAGCAAGACCUGUUUCCAAAAACCAAAACAAUAGAAGAAUAUGAAACAUAAAACAAAUGCAGACACAUGUGUAUCCCACUGUCACAGAAUUUGUUGUGUAGUGCCAAAGAUUUUUAUAUUCUGAAGUUUCUGUGCUCUUUACUUUUGCUUUAUUUGCAGAAGAUUCUGGGAUAUGGCUUGUAACUAUAUUAGAAACACACAUGACGAGGUUGAAUGUGGAAAUGCAGCUGCAUGUGUCAUAAAUCAGUCCUAGGGUUGCUGCUGGGCUUGGUCAUAGCUUUUCUUUAACUAAUUCUGGUGAUCACAUUUGUAAAGAGACAGGCAACAUCAUGAAGAACGGAGGGUUAUGAGAAUUUUAUAGCCCGAACAAUUUGAGUGAAAGUUUCUAGAGUGUUUUCUGUGACUAUUUUUGACUUUCCAUUGUCUGAGAUUUACUUUCCAGAAAGGAUGCACCCUCCCACCCCAGACCACCUAUCCAGUCUUCAUAAUUAAUUCUUUUCAGCUCCUGGAUUACCUGGGUGUGGUAAUGUGAGAGGGAUUUUAUAGAAGGGAACUGAGGAAUAGAUGGAAGAAAAUCACAUAGGACAGAUGGAAAACAGGAUACAGGAGAAUAUUAGAGGAGGGCAAACAAGUGAAAAGGAGAAGUUAAGACGUGUAUGUCAUCAUAACUAUGGAUGAGGCUGGGUGUAGUGGCUCAUGCUUAUAAUCCCAGCCCUUUGAGAGGCUGAGGGGGGAGGAUCGCUUGAGCCCAGGAGUUGGAGACAAGCUGGGGCAACAUAGUGAGACCCCAUCUCUAAAAAUAAUGACCCAGGCAUAGCAUGUGCAUCUGCAGACCCAGCUUACUCAGGAGACUGAGGUGGGAGGACUGCUUGAGCCUAGGAGUUCAAAGCUGCAGUCAGUUAUGGUCACACCACUGCACUCCAGCCUGGAUACAGAGACACAUUCUUAAAAAUAAAUAAAGAAAGAAAGAACUAUGAAUGAAGUGAGCUAGACUUAGGAACAGACUCUAAGAACCCUGAAAUAAACCUUUUCUGUCUCUGAUAUGAUCUGUGAUGUUGGGUUAUCCCCAGAGCAAUGGAUAGAGGUCAUCACAACUCCUCAGUCCCCAAGGCACCCUAUGGGCCACUCCUCUGGAGUGAGAGCUACUGGGGCAAGACGUUAUCACCAUAUCUCCAAUUUUUACAGUGCCUUGGGCCUAAUAGUAACUUCAUGAAUGUUUACUGGAUAAAUAUAAGUCCCUAGCCUUGGAACUGCACUGAAACCCAGGAUUUCUUAAUAAAUGAAGUAAUCAGGCCAGGUGUGGUGGCUCAUGCCUGUAAUCUCAGCACUUUGGGAGGCCGAGGCAGGUGGAUCACCUGAGGUCACAAGUUCAAGACCAGCCUGGCCAACAUGGUGAAACCCUGUCUUUAAAAAAUAAAUAAAUAAAUAAAUAAAGUAAUCUGACAACUGAGAUAAGUAGUUGUGGGUGGCUUUGAACUGUCCUAGUACUCCUGUUUGCUAUGAAAUGGGACUUUUGAAAUGACAUGUUGUUCUGUCCCAAAGGAGAGGAGAGAGACUGUGGAAGAACUGACAGCAGGAAAAGCAAAACUGAGAGAAGAAAAUGGGGCCAGGAGAGGAGCAGAUGCUAGAAUGGAAUUUGGGUUUUCUUGGCACUUCCAAGCUCCUGUACAUUCCUUGCUAUCCCAAUUAUGACUUGUCUGUUUUAAGAGGCUAGAAGUCUUUCCUGGUUGUAAGCCCACCUGUCGCAGCACCAUGUAGCUGCUGGACACUGGCCCUGGACACUGACAUGCGUGUCCCAGGAGCUCUGGAAGGAUGUUAUGCAUUGAUUUGGUUGUUUGAGUCUCAGAUGCGGUAGUGCAUGGGGGACCCUCAGGGAUCCUCACGGUUUGGCGGAAUGAUUCUACAUGUGACCCUGGUAUCUCCAGUUAUGUCACUGUGAAAAAAAGACAGAUUUUGUACUUUUGGGGGUCAUAGCAUGACAGGAGACUGUGUCUCUUGGGCUGUGCAUAUUGUGAUAAGGUAAUGGGUAUCAUUGCUUAGUGGGAGGAGAGAGUAUUAGUUUAAUGAUGGCUUUUAAUAUUAAUUUAAUGGUGAUUUCUAAUAUUAUUAUUUUUCUUAUUAAGAGUAAGCCACUCAAUGGCAGGGUGUAGUGGCUCACGCCUGUAAUCCCAGCACUUUGGGAGGCCAAGGCAGGUGGAUCACUUGAGGUCAGGAAUUUGAGAUCAGCCUGGACAACAUGACAAAACUUCUUCUCUACUAAAAAUACACAAAAUAGCUGGGUAUGGUGGUACGCACUUGUAAUUCCAGCUACUUAGGAGGUCAAGGGAAAAGGAUUGUUUGAACCUGGGAGGUGGAGGUUACAGUGAGUCAAGAUUGUGCCACUGCACUCCAGCCUGGGUGAUAGAGUGAACUCUGUUUCAAAAAGAGGAAAGAAGAAAGAAAAGAAAAGAAAGAAAGGGAAGGAAGGAAGGAAGGAAGGAAGGAGAAGGAAGGAAAGAAAGAAGGGAAGGAAGGAAGGAGAAGGAAGGAAAGAAAGAAGGGAAGGAAUGAAGGAGAAGGAAGGAAAGAAAGAAGGGAAGGAAGGAAGGAAGAAAGGAAAGAAGGAAGGAAGGAAGGAAAGAAGGAAGGAAGGAAGGAAGGAAAGAAGGAAAGAAGGAAGGAAGGAAGGAAGGAAGGAAGGAAGGAAGGAAGGAAGGAAGGAAGGAAGGAAGGAAGGAAAGUUACUCAAGCUCAGGGUACUUUUUUCUUAUUUUGUUCAUAUUAUGACCUUAAUUUCAGAGCAGUACUUGGCACAGAGUAAGCAUUCAAUAGAUGCAGUUCAGUGCAUGAAUCUAUUGAAUAUAUAAGUGCAUUGAAUGGGAGCUCAAGAGAGAAAACUGGGGAGAGAAGGCAGUUUCUUGUUUCCACUGUUUUCUUGAAGGUGACUUAAGAGAUUCUUCAGUACCUGCUGUGCCCCAGUGCAAUGCUAGACAUGCAGUUGAUAAAGACAGGUAAAGCCCUUGAGGGGCUCAUACACAGACAGGAGAGGGUUGGGGAUAUGAAAAGCAUAGCCUCUCAGAGUGCUACUUUGAGUUCUGCUCCAGGUGCCUGAGGAGUCCUGGUAAGAUCUCCAGGUUCGGGGAGGCUUCAGAGGAAGGGACAGCUGAUCUGAGUGUUGAUACCUUCAUAGGUUAGCAGAGAAAGAAACCAGGGGGAAAUUCCUGUAAGCAGAGACCGUGAUGGCACGAUGGCUUGGGGGUGUGAGAUGUCAGGGGUCUGCACGUGGUUAGAACAGCCUGGGGCUCUGGGGACCUUUGGGAAGGUGGCUCAGACAGCAGAAGCCACACGAAGAAGAGGCUAGGGUGUCUUGCUUAGGAAUUUGCAUUUCUGUCUUUGGGAGCAAUGGAAGGUUUAUUUCCACUUUUGAAAACUUUUAAAUGAAAAAUUUCAAACAUGCAUGCAAGUAGAAAGGACCAUAUUGAUAUUAAGGAGCUUAACCCUAGAUUCUACAAUUAAUGUUUUGCCAUGUUUGGUUAUCUAUCUAUCUAUCUAUCUAUCUAUCUAUCUAUCUAUCCAUCCAUCCAUCCAUCCAUCCAUCCAUCCAUCUAUCCAUCCAUCCAUCCAUCCCUCUACCUGUCCUUCCACCCAUUAAUCCAUCUAUUCAUCUAUCUAUCCAUCUAUUUAUCCAUCCAUCCAUCCCUAUCACUGUCUCUCCACCCAUCCAUCCAUCUAUCCAUCCAUCCGUUUGUCCAUCCAUUCAUCUAUCCAUCAGUUAUCGAUCUCUAUAAAUAUAUCAUCUAUCUCUAUCAAUUAUCUAGUUAUCUGUUUUUAUCAUCUACCUAGAUCUAUUCAUUUACAUAAUCUGUCAAUCUCUAUUAUAUAUUAUUUAUCUAUAUCAUCCAUCUAUCCAUCUCUCAUUUAUCUAUCUGUCAUCUAUCUAUCUAUGUAUCUAUCUAUCUAAAUUUGUAGGAUUUUAUGCAGGGGAGUUACUGUGUCUUAGAGGGUUUCUCUGAGAGGUACAUGGAGUAUGAAAUAAAGAAGGAAGGGGAUGGAGUUUGGGAAGACUCAUUGAGAGUUUCUUGAAAUUGAGAUGAGAGGUGGUGGUGGCCUGAACUAAAAUUGAGCAACUGGGCUGGAGAAUGGAGAGCUCAGACAUAUUUAUGGAGGUAUUCUAGUGAUGAUGUCUAACAGACCGUCCAAAAACUUAAUAGCUUAAAAUGAUGACAACAGGCCAGGCAUAUGGUGGUGCCUGCCUGUAGUCCCAGCUACUCAGAAGGCUGAGGCAGGAGGAAUGCUUGAGUCCAGGGGUUUGAAGCUGCAAUGAACCAUGUUUGUGCCACUGCCCUCCAGCCUGGGCAACAGAGUGAGACACUAUCUCAAAAACAGAGACAAUGUUUACCUUUCUUACAGCUCUUCAAUUUGGACAGAGCUUGGCAGGAUGAACUUGUUUCUGGUCUACUGGAUAUCACUUGUAAUGGCUUAAAUGUGAAAUGUGGAGGUCUGCGGUCAUUUGAAGCCUGUCACUCCUGUCUGGCUGGUUAAUGCUAGCUCUCAGCUAGGAUCUUAUUUGGAGCACCCAUGUAUGGCCUCGACAUGUGGCCUGGGAGCCUUCACAACAUGGUAUCUGGAUUAUGAGUGUGAGUGGGGAGGAGGAGGGAGAGAAUGAGAACACCAAGUAGAACAAUACAGAAUUUUAGGACGUAGCCUCUGAAGUCCCCAUAUACUGUCACUUUUGCCCCGUUCUGUUCAUCAACCAGUUCAUGAGGAAGAAGAUUAUCUCCUCCUCUUUAUGUGGUAUGGCAAGUUCUCAAAAUGUUGCUGUGGCUAUUUUUUUGAAAACACAGCCUGUCCAGGGGCUGAAGUGGCAGGAUUUAAUCGUUGGGUAUGUGUAAUGGGGAAGAGCAAAAAAUCUGGGCUGACACCGAGUUUGGAUUCAUGUCUCCAGCGUGGGGUGUGUCAUUCACAGAGAGGGCAGUGCGAGUGGCAGGACAGGAAAGGGGAACGAUGAAGAUGGAGUUAGAUUUCGGGUCCCAUUGAUUUGUUAGGAAAUAGUGCAUCAGGAUAGCUUCAUGAACUACAAACUCACAGAGGAACAGACAAACAGGUUUCCUAGUUUUUGGACAGCUUUGAGCUGAACAGAGUUUGCUGGCCUCUGUGCAUCCCUACAGGAGACAGUUGUGUACCCUGAGCCUGAGUGGAGGUGGCAGGUGUUUGAUGUACCCCAAGCCUGCUGGGGAGGAUGUGGCCCUCAGCAUUUGCUUCCCUCCAUGGAGGUAGAGCAGCUAGGGAGAUGCAACGUUCAUUGAUUUCAUCCAGUAGGCAUUUAUUGAGCACUCGUAUGCUAAAAAUAAAAGAAUUUGAGUAUACAUUAAACACUAUGCCUGCCUUAAAGAGCUUUGUCUCUAGAAGUGAGGUCACAUGCUCAUGUUAAGCUCUGAAUGUAGUUACUAAAAGGACAGAGCUCUGAGCAGAAGCAGAUGUAAUAUGCAUUUGCUGGGCUUUUUCCUUGCUUCUGGGUUCUCCAUGGGGUGCACUGUUGCUGGUGUCUCUUCUGGAGCAUGUAGGGUCCUGUCUAAGAGGGGAGGCCAUGCUACUGUCCUCACUCAUUUGGGGACAUUUACGGACACUGAGCUCUUUUAUCAGAGCUCAAAUGCUGUUCUGGGAGCUCCGCUGUUUUGUGCAGAGCUGCUGGGCAGGUAUUUUUAAAUCUGCUGCAGUGGAGCUCAUAACUGCCUCUUUUCCCAGGUGCUCUGUCCUGGGAAGAUGGGGCAUUAUUUUAAGUUCCUGAUGUGCUGCUGACUUUUUUCAGAGAUGCCUGGCCCAGCAAAGAGGUAGUCUAGUCACAGUCUGCCAGCAGAGGCGGUGCUGAGCUGCCAUGGGCUCUGCCCAGCUGCUGUGUGAACUUCCUUGCGGUUUUGUUUACAGAGGUGCAGUUAGAACUGCCUCGGUAAUGGCAGUCUGCCUCAGUAAUCCAGACACUGAGCUCUUUUGGUAUCUAAACCAAAGUCAGCAUUAGCAGGCUAGUUUCCCUCCCUAGCCUCCCAUUCUCCCUUGGGGAAUAAGGCAGAGCUAUAUGUGCUUGAUCAGUAUCUGUGUCUCCAGUCACUCAAGGUCUUAGAAAGCCUGUUCCUCUGGGAACCCCAUCCCACUCAGCCCUCACUCUCAGCUUCCCAUGUCUGGACUCUAAUUUUGUCUAAUUUUUCCUUGGGUGGUUCUGAUACUGAGUUUAUUUGAAAACCAUGGCUCAAAGUUUGAUUCCUUGUAGCUUGUACUGAAACAACUAUAAUUCAAGUUAGAAAGCAAUGAAAUACUGAUGCAGUUUAAGAGAGGGAAGAAGUCCUUCUGCCUGGGGAGAAGGGGGAACGUUUCAGGGAGUGGGCGUUAGAGCUGUACUCUGAAUGUUAGGUAGAGCUCGACAUACACAGAUGACAGAAAAGACAUUCCAGUCAGAGGGCCAGCAUGGAAAAAAGCAAGGAACAGGAUAGAGUUUUUUUUUUUUUUUUUUUUUUGAGACGGAGUUUCGCUCUUGUUACCCAGGCUGGAGUGCAAUGGCGCGAUCUCGGCUCACUGCAGCCUCCGCCUCCUGGGUUCAGGCCAUUCUCCUGCCUCAGCCUCCUGAGUACCUGGGAUUACAGGCACGUGCCACCAUGCCCAGCUAAUUUUUUGUAUUUUUAGUAGAGACGGAGUUUCACCAUGUUGACCAGGAUGGUCUCAAUCUCUUGACCUCGUAAUCCACCCGCCUCGGCCUCCCAAAGUGCUGGGAUUAUAGGCUUGAGCCACCGCGCCCGGCCCCAGAGUUGUUUUUUUAAAGUUAAUUUUACCAAUAAUUUGUUUAUAUGAGCAUGCAUACAGCUUGUGUCAGGUUAUUUUUAUGUCUUAAAAUUAUUAAAAUUAUUUUGAUAUUUCUGCCUGCGUAUAUGAAGACAUUUAGUUUUAUCAAGAAACUGGAGUAUAGCCAUCCAAACGAAUGUAGACUAGAAAUUAUAAUCCAUAUGUAUUUAUGUUAAAAGGAAGAAAAAUAAAGCAGGAAGGGAAGAGUUGCUUGCUUGAUGAUUUAAGUAACCUUCUAAAUGUGUCUGUUUUUCCUGUGGCCCUCUGUCUUUAAUUCAGAGACCACCGUAUACAUUUCAUGUCCAUUGGUAUUCAUUCCCUCCUAGAUACCUGACAUACCACCUAGAGUCAUUUCCUUUCUGUCUGAAGAAAUUCUUUUAGAAUUUCUUGUAGUGUGGGUCUGCUUAUAAUAAAUUCUCUAAUUUUCUUUAUUUGAAAAUGUUUACAUUUUAUUUUCAUUUCUGAAGAAUAGUUUUAUUAUAUACAGAAUUCUGGGUUGACAGUUUUUAAAAAUUCUGUACAUUAGAGAUAUCAUUCUGUAGUUUUUUGGUUUCCAUGGCUUCUGAUAAGUUCAUCAUCAUUUGUAUUAUUGUUCCCCUGUAUGUAUUUUGUCAUUUUUUUCUGGCUGUUUUCAAGAUUUUCACUUUGUAUUUUAGCAGUUUUCCUAGAGGUAGUUUUCUUUACACUUAUCCCUGCUUGGGUUUUGGUGAUCUUCUUGAAUCUUUAAUUUUGUCUUUCACUACAUUUGUAAGUUGCAGACCUAUUUCUUCAUGUCUUUUCGCUCUAGUCUCUCUCUCCUUUCCGCUGGGACUCUAAAUUUAAGAAGUGUAUUGAAUGGACUGAUAUUGUCACACAGGUCUGGGAGGCUGUGUUUGUAUUUUUUUUUUCAGUCCUUUUUUUCUUCUCUGCUUUUCAGAUUGGGUGGUUUCUGUUGAUCUGUCUUGAAGCUCCCAGAUGCUUCUGCUGUCUCUGAUAUGCUGUUACUCCCAUUCCAGUUAGUGUAUACUUUACUUCUAGAUGACUCUUUUUUCAUAGUUUCUGAUUUGGAAAGGGGUUAGAUCCCCCAUCUGUUCAUUCAUUGUGUAUAUAUUUUUUAUUUAAAAUUCUUGGAAAUAUGUAUAAUAGCUGCCUUAUUGUUCUUAUCUACUAAUUUCAACAUUUGGAUCUUCUUUGGGCUGAUUUAAAAAAAAAAGAUUAUUUUCAGGCUGGGCGUGGUGGCUCAAGCCUGUAAUCCCAGCACUUUGGGAGGCUGAGGUGGGUGGAUCAUGAGGUCAACAGAUCGAGACCAUCCUGGUCAACAUGGUGAAACCCCGUCUCUAUUAAAAAUACAAAAAAUUAGCUGGGCAUGGUGGCGCGUGCCUGUAAUCCCAGCUACUCAGGAGGCUGAGGCAGGAGAAUUGCUUGAACCUAGGAGGCGGAGGUUGCGGUGAGCUGAGAUCACGCCAUUGCACUCCAGCCUGGGUAACAAGAGCGAAACUCCGUCUCAAAAAAAAAAAAAAAAGAUUUUUUUCCUUGAGUUUGGACUAUAUUUUUCCAUUUCAUCACCUGUCUAGUGAUUUUUGAUCAGUUCUUGAACACUACUAAGUGUAUGUUGUGGAGACUCUGGAUCCUGCUAUAUUCCUUUCAACUGAUUUUUAUCUAACACAGAGUUAACUUGGCUGGGCUCAAACUCAAACUUGGUCCCUUGGGCUAGCUUAUGUGAAAGGAGAAUAUCUUGGGUUUCCAAAAUCCCUAAACAAAAGGGAAAAGCCAAGCUGGGAACUGCUUAGAGCAAGCCUGCCUCCCAUUCUAUUCAAAGCCACCCCUCUGCUCAUUGAGAUAAAUGCAUAUCUGAUCACCUCCUUUGGAAAGGCUAAUCAGAAACUCAAAAUAAUGAAACCAUUUGUCUCUUAUCUACCUAUGACCUAGUAGAGGAGGCUACAUACUUUGAGUUGUCCUGCCUUUCCAGACCAAACCAAUGUUCAUCUUACAUAUGUUCAUUGAUGUCUCAUGUCUCCCUAGAAUGUUUAAUACCAAACUGUGCUCUGAUCACCUCAGGCACAUGUCAUCAGGACCCCCUGAGGUUGUGUCACGGGUGCUCAUCCUCAACCUUGGCAAAAUAAACUUUCUAAAUUAACUGAGACCUGUCUCUGAUUUUGAGGUUCACACCAGGCAGCAGCUGACAUCUCCACUCUUUCUUUCAACUUCCAGCUGCUGCUCUUUCACCAUACACCUGUGGUUUCUCACAUCCAUGUGUAGACUCAUGGUGAGCCAAGGAUUUGUACGGAUUUCAUACAUGGAUUUUGCGGGCUCGCACCAUCUACAGUGGCCUGCCUCCCAGGGUUCCACCUCUAACUUUCUGGCUGUUCUUCUAGCCCCCAAGUUUUUUUCUAACACAUCAUGCCAGUUACUAUUCUGGAUCUCAGGCAAAAGACGGCUACACACUCACAAAUCUUAACUUCUCCAGUUGUCUUUCAAGGAUGCUCCUGUUUUCUUUCUGCCUGCUUUUCAUCACUCUCUGGACCCCUAACUAAGUUUAUUUAAAACAUAUUUUGUUCACAUUUGAUAAUUGUUACCCACAGGAGGUUUGGUAUUUACAAGCUACUCUGACAUUACUGGACACCAGAGUCAACUAUGAGAUGUUGUGGUUUAAAUAGCUUUAUUGAGGUAUAAUUGAUAAAAUAAACUGUACUUAAAUUAUACAAUUAGACGUUUUAAUAUAUGUUUACACCUUGAUGCCAUUGCUAUAAUCAAGACACAAUGAGUUUUGUUUUUUGUCUUUUUUUGAGACAUUGUCUCACUCUGUUGCUCACGCUGGAGUGUAGUGGUGCAAUCUUGGCUCACUGCAACCUCCAACUCAGGGGUUCAAGCAAUUCUCCUGCCUCAGACUCCCUAGUAGUUGGGACUACAGGCACACACUGCCACACCGGCUAAUUUUUGUAUUUUAGUAGAGAUGGGGUUUUACUGUGUUGCCCAGGCUGGUCUUCAACUCCUGAGCUCAGGCAGUCCUCCCGCCUUGGCCACCCAAAGUGCUGAGAUUAUAGGUGUGAGCCAGCCACCGUGCCAGGCCAACAAGUUUUUGAGUUUUAUUACGAAUUCAUGUGCAGAUGAAUGGUGGGAAAGAAGGCUCCUUCACAUUGACCUCCUGCUUUCUAUUUCACAGAUUGCUUUCAAAUGCAGUCACUCAUUUUGAUCUUCACAAUGCCCUUGGAAAUAUGGAGUCAUUCUUAAUAUCACCCUUCUGCAGAUGAAAAACUGCAGUGGACAUGUUAAAUGGCUUGCCCUUUCCAUGUUUCCUUACACCAGUACACACCUGGGAGAUGCAUACAUGGUGCUCCACAGCUCCAGGAGUUUUGUUUCAUUUCAGCUGAGAGACAAAACUGCUCAGAGCUGGGGAAAAUCAGUUUGGGAUGGAGAAGUUGGAGCCAUGAAAGCAGAGUGGUGGCGUUUGGAUGGUGUGCCUGAGAAGGGAAGGGCUUGGGGAAGAACAGAGGCCAGGAAUUCAGUCUGGGAAGCAGGUGUAACAAGAGAUAUUAUACAAUGUGAUGAGCAUGGUCAUUGUGGAAAUAAUAGGUUGUGCACAAGUAAUUGCAGUUUUCCCAUGAAAAGUCAUGGCCAGGCCAGGUGUGGUGGCUCAUUUCUGUGAAACCUGCACUUUGGGAGGCUGAGGCAGGUGGAUCAAUUGAGGCCAGCAGUUUGAGACCAAUGUGUCCAAUAUAGCGAACCCUGCCUCUACUAAAAACACAAAAAAUUAGCCAAGUAUGGUGGUGCCAACCUGUAGUCCCAGCUACUUGGGAAGUUGAGGCAGGAGAACUGCAUGAACCCUGGAGGCGGAGGUCGCAGUGAGCCAAAAUCACCACUGGACUUCAGUCUGGGAGACAGAGCAAGACUCAUCUCAAAAAAAAAAAAAAAACCGUCAAGGCUAAAACCGCAAUUCCUUGUGCACCAACCUAGUAUUAAUAGAAAAGGAAAACAGAUAUUGGAGCACUUUCGAAAGAGGAACUGAGAGGAAACAGGAGGCUGGAUAUAGGAGUGAGAAGAAGAGGAAGGGUCAGGGGCAGCCUUUCUUUUCAUUCUUGGCCCCAGGGCCUUUCACUGAGCCUGACACAUAGUACUUAGUAAAUGUUAGUUGAAAUAAAUUAGCUGGUGAUGAGAAGGAUGAGGGGGUGAUAUUUGCUGAUGAACCAUUAAAUUGACACUAUCUGAGUAUGCAUGAGAAUCACCAUGAUGGGGGCUGGGCAUGGUGGGUCAUGCUUGUAAUCCCAGGACUUCCAGAGGCCAAGGAAGGAGGAUGACUGCAGGCCUGGAGUUCAAAACCAGCCUUAGGUUAACUUAGUGAGAUACCAUACCUAUAAAAAAGUAAAAAUAAAAGAAAAGUAGCCAGACAUAGUGGCACACACCUAUAGUCCCAGCUACUCAGGAAGCUGAGGCAGGAGGAUCACUUGAACCCAGGAGUUCAAGGCUAUAGUGAGCUAUGAUGGCACCACUGCACUCCAGCCUGGGCAACAGAAUGAGACCUGACUUUAUUUUUUAAUUUUCAAUUUUUUUGAGACAGAGUCUUGCUCUGUCACCAGGCUGAAGAGCAGUGGCAUGACCUCAGCUCACUGCAACCUCUCCGUCUCGGGUUGAAACGAUUCUCUUGCCUCAGACUCCCUAGUAGCUGGCACUACAGGCGUGUGCCACCAUACUCAGCUAAUUUUUUUUUGUAUUUUUAGUAGAGAUGGGCUUUCACCAUGUUGCUCAGGAUGGUCUCCAUCUCUUGACCUCAUGAUCCACCCAACUCAGCCUCCCAAAGUGCUGGGAUUACAGGCAUGAGCCACUGUGCUUGGCUGACCCUGACUUAAAAAAAAAAAAAAGAGAGAGAAUCACUAAUUAGCACAUGGUGGGUCCUAUCUGAGUUUCUGGUUCAGUAAGUCCCCAGAAUUUGCAUCUUACCUAAGAGCAAACGGUGACAUGUUCUGCUAACCCUCCUGGUCCAGGGCUGUACUUGGAGAUCCAGUUGUACAAAGUCAUGAGAACAGUUUUGAAUUCUGCUGCUUCCCCUUUAUGCUCCAGGCUGCGCAGGAGUAUUUUUCUCCCAGUGUUGUCUUCUGGCACUGACAGUCAGAGAGGUGUCCUUGGGAUCGUUAAUCAGCAUUUAACAUUUGUAGGAAAUCUACUUUAUUACUUUUCUUAAACUCUGGAGCUCAGAGUCUUGUUUCUGAAGCCUCUCGGGUAACAUUUUGUGAACAUAGCAUGUUCUGCCACAGAUUCUUCUCGAGCAGAUGAGGAGGCUUUCCAAAUGUUACAGCAGAUCUUGUGUCACGGAGAGGGCAGAGCUGGGCCACUCCAGCAGCUGACGGAUUGGGGAGGGACUUCUGGGAUUACGUUAUGCUCAUUUGCUAACCUGCAAAAUUAUGACUGCAGGUAUCAUGCGGUAGGGCACGCUGGUCUUCUUGUCCAUUUGUCAGGGUCGUCCCGGGUUGCUGUUUGGACUCAAAAGAAAAGAAUCUUUCCCUGUUCAGGAUCACUUUAUGUUUUCAGGCUUUGCAAGCUGGCCCUUUGGGAUGCAGAGGGCAAUGGUUUCUUAGAACAGACCAUGUAGAUUUCAUGCCAGAGUACUGCAGGGCUGUUAGGGCAUUGUGGAUCUUGCAGAGUUUCGUGAUUCUUUGAUGAUUUGAUGACCCAGACGUGCAGUGUGACAGGUGUGCAGUUUUUCAAUUUAGCAUCAGUGCAAUGCAGAAGCUGUGCCAGAGAAGAUGAAGUGACCCGGUCGCCUUUUUUUUUUUCUCAAGGAAUGGAGCCUUGUGCUUGGGGGCACAUUCACUCUCUAGCAGGGCGGUUCACGAUUUCACCCAUCUGGUACUAGGUAGCUGAUGGCUUUGCUGUCUUCAUACAGUUCUUCCCACUGUAGCUCUUGAAGACAGAAGGAAUCACUCCUGAGCAGUUCCCACUGAUGUUGGCCUGCUGUGCUACUGGGACACACAACUGCUCUUUCCCCAGUUCCUUCCUCUCUGUUUAAAUGGCAUUUCUAUUACAAAGGGUCCCACUCUCGCAUUUUUUAGGUCAAGGGACUUCCUGGGGGUAUUGAAUUCCUCCUACAUAGAAGAGUGUUCCUGUUAAGAUGGUCCCCCAGGUAAGAGUGGAUUCCAGGUAUUCCUCUCCAAGACCCUGAGGUCAGAUGCCUCCAAGAAUUCCCCAUGGAGCUCCCCCCAGCCAGAAUCCAAUGUCUGCUCCCUUUCUGAAAAAUACUCACAUCAUGCACUUUGGGAGCCCGAGGUAGGUGGAUCACCUGAGGUCAGGAGUUCGAGAUCAGCCUGGGCAACAUGGUGAAACCCCCAUCUCCACUAAAAUACAAAAAUUAGCUGGGCAUGGUGGCGGGUGCCUGUAUUCCCAGCUACUUGGAAAGCUGAGGCAGAAGAAUCACUUGAACCGGGUAGGCAGAGGUUGCAAUGAGCCGAGAUCGCACCAUUGCACUAAAGCCUGGGCAACAAGAGUGAAACUUCAUCUCAAAAAAACAAAAACAAAAACACACACACACACACAAAGCAGUGGCAGGGACAACCACAUCUUCACUAAGAAGUACUGUGAGUUACAGACUGAAUUGUCUCCCCCUAAAUUCAUAUGAAGUCCUAACCUCCAGCACCUGGCUCAGAAUACAACCCUAUUGGGAGAUAAGAUCGUUAGAGAGGCGAUUAAGUGAAAAUGAAGGUGUCCUUAGAAGAAGAGGAGAUUAGGACACUGACAUGCACAGAAGACCAUGAAAGGCAAUGGAAGAAGGCGGCCAUCUACAAACCAAGGAGAAACUGCCCUCAGAAGAAACCAACCCCACUGACACCUUCAUCUCAGACUUCCGGUUUCCAGGACUAGGAGAGCAUCCAUUUCUGUUGUGUUGAAGCCACAUAGCUGUGUUAUGGCUGCCCUAGUGGAGUAAUACACAGUGUCGUGGUGAUGGAGUAACCCAGAUCCUCUAACCACUCGAUGAUUUGAUCUCUGGUAGCUUGGGCGCUGGGGCCAAAUUACACUGGCCUCUCCAGCUGUGCUCUCCUGACCUUUCUAGAAAGCUUAUCAUCAGAGCCCAUCUGCUAGCUGAUGUCACCAACACACACUCUACUGCGGGUAAAUCCUCCCCAUCAUGAGCCCAAGCAUCUAAGGGCCUUACCCUCUUAAGACAGGCUCUGUUGAAUUAGAAAGUGCCCUGCUGACCCAGCUCUCAGACUUCCCUUCCUCUCUCCCAAGGUGGGAAAUAGCUUGUUCCUUGGAAAGGGCCAUGCACUCUUGCCCUUCUUGGUUUUACUGUAUGACAGGUAUUAUUAAAGACCCUUGUUACAUUAGCCCCUGUGUAACCAUACCUGCAAGUGCUGCGUCAGUUGCAUUAGCUAGAGUUUUAAAUUGACUUAGAGCAGCACUAAAAAUAGCGUGGGAGGGAUGGAGUUUAGGGCAGUGUGUAAGACUUCUGGGUCUGCUGCACAAGCCCUGUGAGCUGGGGGCAUUCUCUAAUUUUCUUCCCUUUCCUUUCCCCUCUCCUUUCCUUUCACCUCCCUCCCUCCCUCCCUCCCCCCUUCCUCUCUCUUGUCUCUCUCUCUCUCUCUGUUUCUUCUGGAGACAGGGUCUCUCUCUGCCACCCAGGCUGGAGUGCAAUGGUCUAAUCACGGCUCACCGGAGCCUUGACUUCCUGGGCUCAGGUGAUCCUCCCACCUCAGCCUCCCAAGUAGCUGUGAGUACAGGCACACGCCACCAUGCUCGGCUAAUUUUUAUACAGACAAGGUCUCCGUUGCUCAGGCUGGUCUUGAACCCCUGAGACCAAGCAAUCCUCCUGCGUUGGCCUCCCAAAGUGCUGAGCCCUUGUGCCUGCCCCAUUCUUUCAUUUUCUACAACUCCAUUUCCCUGUCUGCAAAAUGCAGCUAAUAAUCAUAGUCCUAGCGUCGAUGUGAAGUUUAGAGAGAAAGGAUAUGAAGCACAGGCUGUAUCUCGCACAAACACUCAGGAAAUGUUGGUGAGCUGUUAGGAUGAUGACCUUCGUGGUAAAGACCUCCCAGAUAAUUUAAGAUUCCUUUAUACCGUCUGAAUCAACAGAGCUGCAGUGAAUGUUGACGGUUAAAACCCGCGUUACUUGUACUUCACUCCACUUAGGUUUUCAAACAACGGUAAUCCAUGUAAAGAAACUGUACGCUGGCCGGGCGCGGUGGCUCACGCCUGUAAUCCCCGCACUUUGGGAGGCCCAGGCAGGCGGACUGCUUGAGCUCAGGCGCUUGAGACCAGCACGGGCAACGUGGCAAAACCCAUCUCCGCCGGGUGCGGUGGCUCACGCCUGUAAUCCCAGCACUUUGGGAGGCUGAGGAGGGUGGAUCACGAGGUCAAGAGAUCGAGACCAUCCUGGUCAAUAUGGUGAAACCCGUCCCUUCUAAAAAUAUAAAAAAUUAGCCAGGCAUGGUGGCGCGUGCCUGUAAUCCCAGCUACUCAGGAGGCUGAGGCGGGUGGAUCACGAGGUCAAGAGAUCGAGACCAUCCUGGUCAACAUGGUGAAACCCGUCCCUUCAAAAAAUAUAAAAAAUUAGCCAGGCAUGGUGGCACGUGCCUGUAAUCCCAGCUACUCAGGAGGCUGAGGCAGGAGAAUUGCCUGAACCCAGGAGGCGGAGGUUGCGGUGAGCCGAGAUCGCGCCAUUGCACUCCAGCCUGGGUAACAAGAGCGAAACUCCAUCUCAAAAAAAAGAAAAAGAAAGAAACUGUGUACGCAACCCUAGUUUUGGAACAAAGAGGAUUCUGCUUUUUUGAGCCUUUAAGCCCUUAAUUCAAUAUUUUCUGGCUAAUUUCCAUAUGUUAUUUUAAGCCAGAAGCCAAAAUUGCAUCCCUGUCUACUUUCCCUUCCCCCUUAUUUCCUCCAAGAGGAGUGAACACGUACCUGCUUGGUCCAGAAUCCGGGAGUCAGACGAGGUCACGUUUCUGGAGGUUGGGCCGCUGCCGGUGAGAGGUUAGGGUGCAAGUGUGGCCCCCGCUCCCUGUCCCUCCGCCGCAGGCCUCAGCGAGCCUCUGCUUCCAAGCGUCUUACUGUCUGUGCUCUUCUUCUGUGGAUGGUUCACGGCCUUAAGUCCUAGCUGGAGAGUGUACGAGUGUGACCGGGUGGGCCGGGCGCGGUGGCUCACGCCUGUAAUCCCAGCCCUUUGGGAGGCCGAGGUGGGUGGAUCACAAGGUCAAGGGAUCGAGACCAUCCUGGUCAACAUGGUGAAACCCCGUCUCUACUAAAAAUACAAAAAAUUAGCUGGGCAUGGUGGUGAGUGCCUGUAAUCCCAGCUACUCAGGAGGCUGAGGCAGGAGAAUUGCCUGAACCCAGGAGGCGGAGGCUGCGGUGAGCUGAGAUCGCGCCAUUGCACUCCAGCCUGGGUAACAAGAGCGAAACUCCGUCUCAAAACAACAACAACAACAGAGUGUGAUCGGGUUGCGGGACGCGGGCGAGGCUCAGCUCCCCGACGGGAGGUGCCCGCGCGUGCUCGGGCCCUUGGGCUCCCGUGCGGGCAAGAAUGGGUAGGAGGCCCUGGCGCCGUGAUACCGUCCAAGUAAAUACCGGACCCCAAGAGCUUCUGCAGAAAAGCGAUUUAUCAGGCAGAGAGAGAAAGAGGAGUGGAGAGGGACGGAGAUUAAAGCCAGGUCCCCCGCUGCUGUGGGACGGGAUCCCGGAAGCGGAAAGCCGCCGCGCACGUGAGGGGCGGGAGGUCUUUUAACGUGGCGCUUACUCCCGCCCCAUUCAAGUUCUCGUCCUAUGAGAGGAGUUUCUUUAAACUUCCGUUGGAAUGACUGAUCUUUGAUUCUGACACCUGAUUGGCUGUUUGGCCCAGAGUCCGCCCAUAGCUUUUGGCGGGUGUUUCUACUGGGUGAGGCUCACCUGGCCGGUCUCCCUUCCCGGGCGGGCGAAACUUCGAGAAAGACCUCUCAGCUCCCGGACGGAGACGGGAAGGAAGGCAGGUCAGGCGCGGGGAAGUUCUCCUCUUUGAAACCACGCCCCUGUGCACCCCGUAAGAAAAGUUAACACAUUCCUUCAAGAGCUUUUCAGGCUUGGGCUUACGUUCCCUGAGGCAAGAAAGGCUGGGCCACCUGUAGCCUGGCUACUCCUUUUGUUUUCUCAGCUCACCGCAACCUCCGCCUCCCGGGUUCAAGCGAUUCUGUUGCCUCAGCACCCCGAGUUGCUGGGACAACAGGUACCUGCCACGACACCUGGCUGACUUUUUUUUUUUUUUUUUUUUUUGAGACGGAGUUCCGCUCUUUUUACCCAGGCUGGAGUGCAAUGGCGCGAUCUCGGCUCACCGCAACCUCCGCCUCCUGGGUUCAGGCAAUUCUCCUGCCUCAGCCUCCUGAGUAGCUGGGAUUACAGGCACGCGCCACCGUGCCCAGCUAAUUUUUUGUAAUUUUUAGUAGAGACGGGGUUUCACCUUGUUGACCAGGAUGGUCUCGAUCUCUUGACCUCGUGACCCACCCGCGUCGGCCUCCCAAGUGCUGGGAUUACAGGCGUGAGCCACCGCGCCCGGCCGAUUUUUGCAUUUUUAGUAGAGACGGGGUUUCACUAUGUUGGCUAGGAUGGUCUCGAUCUCUUGACCUCGUGACCCACCCGCGUCGGCCUCCCAAAGUGCUGGGAUUACAGGCGUGAGACGCCACGCCUGGUCUGGCAACUCCUUCUAUGCGGACGAGCCUGUGUUUCUCUUUAUUUUUCCUUUUACUUCCCCAAGGUGAAUGUUCGAGUAGAGGCUUCCUUGACUGUCAUUCCCCAGGUCCUCUUCCUGUUUCCUCUCGGGUUUGGAUUUAAAAGCAAAGCUUAAACCUCUGACAGAGGCUCCCAGCUGGGGUGUGAGAAGGCGCCCCCGCAACAAAGGCGCGAUAACUCCAAGUUUUAGGACAUACUUAAUUUGUUAUUGCUGUUUUGUUUUUAGAGACAAGGUCUUUCUCUGUCACCCAGGAUGGAGUGCUGUGGCGGGAUCACAGGUCACUGCAGCCUCGAACUCCUGGGCUCAAGUGAUCCUUCUGCCCCGGCCUCCUGAGUAGCUGGGCUAUAGGCACAUGCCACCAUGCUUGACUAAUUAUGUUCUUUCUUUUUUUUUUUUUUUGUAGAGAUGGGGAUCUUGCUGUGUUGCCCAGGCUGGUCUCAAACUCCUGGCCUCAAGCAAUCCCUUCACCUCAGCCUCUUUAAAAUUGUGAACUCAAUAUGUAGAUCUGGCAUAAAGACGUUGAGAAACUUGAGAGGAACAGGUGGAAACUUAUUCUGAGUUAUGCUCACUUCUCUCUGCUUCAUUUAUUCGUAUCAUUGCUAGUUUUGUUCACUAGUCAUGUUUUCAAAGUAGCCACAAAAAUAAAUUGUUUCCUAAUAUUAUUUCCAGCUCUCCCCUCAUCCAUUUUCCACUGCGGAAUUCUUUUGAGAGUAUAAUUUGUGCUUCAGAAUCCAGAGAUACUGACGUGCAGAUAGGUUGUAGUAGUCCUGGUCUGUCUGGGAGAAUGGCUGAGGAGCAUGUUUCCUGAGGACCAAAUCAGUUUUUUAGAAAAAAAAAAUAAAUUAUUUCCAUAGGCUUUUGGGGAACAGGUGGUAUUUGGUUACAUGAGUAAAUUCCUUAGUGGUGAUGUGUGAGAUCUUGAUUCACCUGUCACCCGAGCAAUAUACGCUGCACCCAGUUGGUAGUCUUUGUCCACCCUCUCCACCCUGAGUCUGCAAAAUCCAUUAUAUCAUUUUUGUGCCUUUGCAGCCUUAUACACACACACACACACACACACACACACACUCACACGCUACAGUUUCUUUAUCCAUGUGAUGGGCAUUGGAGCUGAUUCCAUGUUUUUAAAUUGCAAAUUGUAUUUCUAUAAACAUGCUUAUGCUAGUAUCUUUUUCACACAAUGAUUUGUUUUCCUCUGGGUAGAUAUCCAGUAGUGGGAUUGCUGGAUCAAAUGGUAGUUCUACUUUUAGUUCUUUAAGGAACUCCACAGUGUUUUCCAUGGUAGUUGUACUAAUUUACAUUCCCAUCAGCAGUGUAGAAGUGUUCCCUUUUCACUGCAACCAUGCCAACAUCUAUUAUUUCUUGAUAUUUUUGAUUAUGGCCAUUCUCGCGAGAAUGCUGAGCAUUUUUUCAUAUGUUGGUUGGUCAUUUGUACAUCUUGUUUUGAGAAUUGCCUAUUCAUGUUCUUAGUGGGAUUGUUUGCUUUCUUCUUGCUAAUUUGUUUGAGUUCAUUGUAGAUCCUGGAUAUUAAUCCUUUAUUGAUGUAUAGAUUGUGAAGAUUUUCUCUCAUUCUGUGGGUUGUCUGUUUACUCUGCUGACUCUUCCUUUUGCUGUGCAAAAGCUCUUUAGUUUCAUUAAGUCCCACCUAUUUAUCUUUGCUUUUAGUGCAUUUGCUUUUGGGUUCCCAAGUCACUUUUGAAGUAUCCCCAGUACAGCUUUGGAUGUGUCACUGGGCCCUGGACACAGGUGUAGCUCACAAGAAAUGGAGCCAGGGGAGAAUGAGAGAAUAGGAGAGCGCUUUUCUGGAGAGGCAGCCCAGUUUAAAUGUACACCUUGGUGUAUUGAUUCAUGGUCUACAGCUCUUGAAGAAGAAAAAAUGAGGUUUCAAAACACGAAGGAGGGAAAGACUAGAGAAAAGAACUUGUCGCUUUUUGUCUCGUGUUUGGUUGUGUCCACACAAAUCUCAUCUUGAAUUGUAGCACCCAUAAUUCGCAUGUGUUGUGGGAGGGACCUGAUGAGAGAUACUUCAAUCGUGGGGACAGUUUCUCCCAUACUGUCCUUGUGGUAGUGAAUAAGUCUCAUGAGAUUUGUUGGUUUUAUAAGGGGUUUCCCUUUUUGCUUGCUUCUCAUUCUCUCUUGCCUGCCACCAUGUAAGAUGUGCCUUUCACCCUCUGCCAUGAUUGUGAGGCCUCCCCAGCCACAUGGAACUAUGAGUCCAUUAAACCUCUUUUUCUUUAUAAAUUACCCAGUCUUGGGUGUGUCUUUAUGAACAGCCUGAAGACAGACUCAUACAUUGCACCUUGGAAGACAACCUUUCUGAGGGUCCUUCACUCAGAACUUGUUCUUCCAACAGAGGUAGUGGCGGUGGCAUGUUUGAUGUGUAGGUGUCAGAGGGACUGAUAUGACCUGGUUACUAGCUGGUUUGGAGGUCUCAGUCCCUGGAGAGAAGGGGCAGUUGGAGGGAGGAAGGCAGGGAUGAUUGUGGCUGGGAGGAUGUGUUGCAGUGGUUGGUGCAGGGAGCAGUCAAGGCUUCGUGGUCAUGGAUGCUGUAGGUGUGCUUGGAGGAGGUCCUUUAAGGGCCGUCUUGGGUAGAGGUUUGCAACAAGAGUUGGCCUGACUGCAUCUCUGCUUCAACCAAAGCAUCUUUAGUUUGAGCUUUACUUAUUUAUUUAUUUAUUUAGAAAUGAAAUUUUACUCUUGCUGCCCAGGCUGGAGUGCAAUGGUGCAAUCUUGGCUCACUGCAACCUCUGCCUCCCAGGUUCAAGCUAUUCUCCUGCCUCAGCCUCCUGAAUAGCUGGGAUUACAGGCAUGUGCCAUCUCACCCAGUUAGUUUUUUUUUAAAUUUUUAUUUUUAGUAGGGGUUUCUCCAUGUUGGUCAGGCUGUUCUCGAACUCCCGACUUCAGGUGAUCCACCCACCUCGGCCUCCCAAAGUGGUGGAAUUACAGGUGUGAGCUACUGUGCCCAGCCUAGUCUGAGCUUUUAAUAUCUUGGGCCUACCCUGGAGGCUUGUUUGAAUAAAGACUACAGAUAAAAUAAGCAACAACCAUUUUUUUUCUGACAAAUCCCAAGAGACGGGGCUUGGUCAUUAGGAACAGCUGAUCUUUAAGAAAAAUGUUGCACAAGAUGGGCUUUGAUAGAGAUUGAAUAUCUGUCCUUGCCAAUGUCUGAUGUUGAAAUGUAAUCCCAAAGCUGGCGGUGGGACCUGGCGGGAGGUGUUUGGAUCUUGGUAAUGGAUCCCUCACGGCUUAGUGCUGUCUUUGUCAUAGUGAGUGAGCUCUUGCAUGAUCUGGUCAUUUAAAAGUAUGUGGCACCUCCCCCACUGUUUCUCUUGCUCCUGCUUUUGCCGUGUGAAGUAUCUGUUCCUGCUUCACCUUAAGCCAUGAUUGAAAGCUCCCUGAGGCUUUACCAGAAGCCAGGCAGAUGCCAGCAACAUGCUUCCUGUAUGGCCUCUAGAAAUGUGAGUCAAUUCAACCUCUUCAUAAAUUACCCAGUCUCCAAUAUUUCUUUAUAGCAAUUCAAGAAUGGCCUAAUACAGGUUCGAACUUGAAUUUUAAAAUUAAAAAAAAAUUAUUUUUCGAGACCAGAUCUUGCUUUGUCAGCCAGGCUGGAGUGCAGUGGUGUGAUCAUGGCUCUCUGCAGCCUUAAACUCCUGGGCUCAAAUGAUCCUCCCAAGUAUUGGGGACAACAGGUGUGCACCACCAUGCCCAGCUAAUUUUUGUACUUUUUUGUAGAGACAGGGUUUCAUCAUGUCAUCCAGGCUGAUCUCAAACUCCUUGGCUCAAGCCAUCUGCCUGCCCCAGCCUCCCAAAGUGUUGGGAUUUUACUGGCAUGAGCCACUUAGCCUGGCCUGAACCUGAAUUUUAAAUGCUAAGCAUGCACAGAGUCCAAAGAGAUAAGACAGGGGGCCCAGUUCAGAGGUAAGAUCCUGCCCUUAUGUUUCUUGGAAGUUUUCUCAUUUUUUUGGUGUUUUAAAAUUGAGAUGUAAUUUACAUAUAGAGUGAAAUCUGCAGACCCUAAGUGUAGUUUGAUUCGUUUUGACAAACACACAGAUUUAUGUAACCCACAGUCUACCAAUAUAUAGUACAAUUUUAUCAUCUCAGAAAUCCUCUUGUAUUCCUUCCUAGUCAAUCUUCCACAUCCACGAGAAACAAGCACUAUUUUGAUAUUUUUAGCCCUAGAUUAGUUUGGCUGCUCUGGAACUUUAUGGAAAUGAAAUCAUGUAUAUAUAUUCUUUUGUUUCUGUGUUGUGUUUUGUUUUUCACUCAGCAUUUUUUUUUUUUUUUUUGCAUUUUUCUUUGUCAGGGGAUCUGCAGUCUGUUUGAAAAGAAGCAGAAAGUAAAUAUUUUAGACUUGCCAGCCAGCAGGUCUCUGUAGCAACUACUCAACUCUGCUGUUGCAGCAGGAAAACAGUGUAGACGAUAUGCAAAUAACUGCAUGUUGCUAUCUUUCAAUAAAACUCUAUUUACAGAAAAUGGCUCGUUUGCAGAGAUAAUUAGCUGACCCCGAUAUAUGUUGUUUAUUAGUUUUGUUUGUUUUUAUUGCUGUGUUGUCUUACAUGUGUGGAUCUGUCAUAGUUUAUUUAGCUGUCUUCCUGUUGGUGGACACCAAGACCAUUUUGAUUUUUGGCUAUUACGAAUAAAGUGACUGUGUAUGAUUUUGUAUAGGACUUUUGUGUACCUACGUGUUCAUUUCUUUUAUAUAGGUAACUAGGAGUGAAAUUAUUGUCAUAGGGUGUCUGUUAGGGUUCUCUGGAGGGACAGAACUAAUAGGAUAGAUGUAGAUAUGAAAGGGGGCUUAUUAAGGAGAAUUGACUCACAGAAUCACAAGGUGAGGCAGCCUACAGUACAGCUUUCAGUCUGUGGCCAAAGGCACGGGGGCCCCUGGCAAUCCACUGGGCUAAGUCCAAGGGCCCAGAGCCACAGAACCUGGAGUCUGAUGUUCGAGGACAGGAAGCAUCCAGCAUGGGAGAAAGGUAAAGGCUGGAAGACUCCGCAGGGCAGCCUCUCCCACCUUCCUCUGCCUGCUUUAUUCUAGCUACACUGGCAGCUGACUGGAUGGACCCACGCCCAUUGAGGAUGGGUCUGCCACUGACUUCGAUGUUAGUCUCCUCCGACAACAUUCUCACAGACAUACCCAGGAACAAUACUUUGCAUCCUUCAAUCCAACUAAGUUGACACUGAAUAUUCACCAUCACAGGGUAGGUGUAUAUGGUGUAUAUUUAACUCUUUUUUUGGGGGGGAGAUGGAGUCUCACUCUGUCACCCAAGCUGGAGUGCAGUGAUGCAAUCUCAGCUGACUGCAGUCUCUGCCUCCCAGGUUCAAGUGAUCCUCCUGCCUCGGCCUCCCAAGUAGCUGGGAUUACAAGUGUGUGCCACUAUGCCCGGCUAAUUUUUGUGUUUUUAGUAGAGAUGGGAUUUUGCCAUGUUGGCUAGGCUGGUCUUGAACUCCUGAUCUCAGGUGAUCCACCUGCCUUGGCCUCCCGAUGUGCUGGGAUUACAGGCAUGAACCACCGCACCCAGCCCUAUAUUGAACUCUUAACUGCCGAAUAAAUUUACAAAAUGGUUGUAGUAUCUUUCAGUUUUACCUUCAACAUGUGAGUGUUCCAGUUAUGCCUCAUCCUCGCCAACAUUUGGUGUUGUCAGUUUUCUUCCUGUUAGCCAUAGUAGUGGCUGUGGAGUGGCAGCCCAUGUGCUUCCUUGAAUACUUCUUGACUGAUUUGGUUCCAUCACACGUGUUGCUUUUAUUUCCAUCACACGUGUUGCUGUUAUUUCCGAGGUACCUGGAGAAGUGAUCCUCUGUGAUCAACCUCUCAGGGACUUAGUAGCUUCUCUUUACACAGGCUCUGCAUGACCAAGUGGGGUGUGUGCACCCAGAGUCUUUGAGAGGACGCAUCUCAGUCUUUAACCAUCAUCCACUACUUAUUUAUUUAUUUUGGAGAUAGGCUCUUGCUUGUUGCCCAGGCUGAAGUGCAGUGGUGCCAUCAUAGGCCACUGCAGCCUUGACCUCCUGGGCUCAAGCUAUCCUUCCACCUCAGCCUCCUGAGUAGCUGGGACUACAGGUGCAUACCACCGUGUCUGGCUAAUUUUAAAAUUGUUUUGUAGAGGCAGGGUGUUGCUGUGUUGCCCAGGCUGAUCUUGAACUCCUGGCCUCAAGUGAUCUUCCUGCCUUGGCAUCCCGAAGUGCUGGGAUUACAAGUGUGAGCCUCCCCCACCUGCACUUCAUCUAUUGCAGUUGUCCACAUGCAUCAGAUUUUAUCCUGAUGCCUCUUUGUCUCUUUUUUGGCUUUGACUCGGUGCAGCAGAGCGGGGAGAAGCUGUCAGCAGCCACGUCAUUUCUGGUUUUACAAACGUGCCAGGGUCCUAUUUCCUUCAGAGCCUGGAGACCGAGCCGGGCCCCACUUAUCAAAGCACUGGGCCAACUCCUUCCUACCAUAUGGCUGAUUCUCCCUUGGGGGGAAGAUUGAGAAAAUAGACCCAUAUGCUGCCGUGAUUCUGUUUGUGUUUGGAUGUGGAGUUUAAUUUGUGUCAGAAAAAGCAGUAUUCUUAUUUCAUUGAUUUCCUUUUUUGCAUCUUUUGUAAAAGGGAAGAAUGAAAGCUCGGGAAUUAGCUACAGAAAUAGCAAGUGGAUAAUAAAAUAAUGUGUUGUGGUCCGUGUGCAGUUAGAAAAAGGAAUGAUAUUUGACUCCUUUUUGGUCUGUAUUCACAAAGAGCUAUACUGGUUUCUUGGAUCAAUGUGGUAGUUCAGAGAUAUGAAGCAUUCUUGUAUUUACUAUCCUAUCCAGUUACAAAAGUAACCUUGUGAAGUGGGAGGCCUUUAACCAUCAUCUGGCUUUAUUUAUUUAUUUAUUUAUUCAGAGAUGGAGUCUUGCUCUGUCUCCAGGUGGGGGUGCAGUGGUGCAAUCUCAGCUCACUGCAACAUCCACCUCCUAGGUUCAAGCGAUUCUCCUGCCUCAGCCUCCUGAGUAGCUGGGACUACAGGUGUGCACCACCACACCCAGCGUAUUUUUGUGUUUUUGCUACAGACGGGGUUUUACCAUGUUGGCCAGGAUGGUCUCGAUCUCUUGACCUCAUGAUCCUCCCACCUCGGCCUCUUAAUGUGCUGGGAUUACAGGCAUGAGCCACUGUGCCUGGCCUAUUUAUUUAUUUUUGAGACAGGAUCUUGUACUGUCACCCAGGCUGAAGUGCAGUGAUACAAUCAGAGCUCACCUUUAAUUCCAGCUAUUUGGGAGGUUGAAGCAGGAGAAUCACUUGAACCAGGAGGUGGAGGUUGCAGUGAGCCAAGAUCAUACCACUGUACCCUACCCUGGGCAAUAGAGUGAGGCGCUCUCAAAAAAAAAAAGACUCAGUAGAAUGAUUAAUCCCAUUUUACAGUUGAAGCUUCCCAUUGAAGCUGCUGUCUAACUCUGGAGACUGUGAUUUUUAAAAAAAAUUUUAUUAUUUUGAGAUGAAGUCUUUCUGUUGCCCAGGCUAGAGUGCAGUGGCAUGAUCAUAGCUUAGUGUCGCCUCGACCUCCUGGGCUCAGGAAAUCCUCCCCCCUCAGACUCCUGUAGCUGGGACCACAGGCAUGUGCAAUCAUGCUUGGCUAAUAUUUUAAAGUUUUUGUGUUGCGGGGGAUCUCACUCUGUCACCUAGGCUGGAGUGCAGUGGCAUGAUCAUAGCUUCCUGCUGCCUCGACCUCCUGGGCUCUGGAGAUCUUCCCACCUCAGUUUUCUGUAGCUGGGACACAGGCACGUGCCACCAUGCUUCGAUAAUUUUUUAAAUUUUUGUCGAGAUGAGGUCUCACACUGUCACCUAGACUAGAGCACAGUGGUGCAAUGAUAGCUCACAGCACCCUCGAACUCCUGGGCUGAAGUGACCCUCUUGCCUCAGCCUCCUAAGUAGCUGGGACUACAGGCACGUGCCACCACACCUGGCUAAUUUUUAAAUGUUUUUUGUAGAGAGAGUCUUGCUGCGUGGCCCAAGGCUCAUGUGGGACUCCUGAGCUCGAGCGCUCCUCCCACCUCAUCCUCUCAAAGCGCUGAGAUUACAGGUGUGGCCACUGCACCCAGCCGAGCCUGUCAUCUUAACCGUUAUUUCAUGAGCAGCCAUAGGUUAAUAAAAAUCCAUAAGGCGAUGUUUGUUACACUUGUGACCAGCCCCCAAGAAGAAUCUUGCAUGCUAACUCCCUAAUGAGCUUCCCUGAUGGGAAACGUUUCUCAUGUGUGGCCAGAACUCCUUGCUGGAGGGAGAUGAGCAGCAUCCUGUGUGACUUCCCUGGGGUAGGACUCGUGGAAGCAUGCACGCAGCUUCCUCCAGACCUUCUCACAGGUGCCUGUUCCCUCUGCUGCUGCUUUUCUAGUUUUAUUCUGACAGUCUUGCUCUGUCACCCAGGCUAGAGUACAGAGGCGCAAUCUUGGCUCCCUGCAACCUCUGCCUUCUGGGUUCAAGCAAUUCUUCUGCCUCAGCCUCCCAGCUAGCUGGGAUUACAGGCACCUGCCACCAUGCCCGGGUAAUUUUUUGUAUUUUUUUAGUAGAGAUAGGGUUUCACCAUAUUGGCCAUGCUGGUCUUGAACUCCUGACCUCAGGUGAUCCACCCGCCUCGACCUCCCAAAGUCCUGGGAUCACAGGCGUGAGCCACCAUGCCCGGCCCCCUCUGCCGCUUUUGUCUUGAAUCCUCCACUGUAAUAAAUCAGAGCCAUGAGUGCAAUGUGCCAAGUUCUAUGGCUCCUUCUACUGAAUUAUUGACCUGGGGUGGUCUUGAGGACUCUCAACAUACUUGGGUUGAAAGCCAAAAAUCUGGUAACGCCACUCAAUAAUGUGUGGCUUUGAGAUUGUUGCCUAAUUUAGUUUUUUGUUUUAUUUUUUUGAGACGGAGUCUCGCUCUGUUGCCCAGAUUGGAGUGUAGUGGUGUGAUCUUGGUUCAGGCAAUCUUUGUCCACUGCAACCUCUCUCCCAGGCUCAAGCAAUUCUCCUGCCUCAUCCUCCCGAGUAGCAGGGACCACAGGUGUGCACUAUGAUGCCUGGCUAAUUUUUGUAUUUUUAGUAGAAAUGGGGUUUCACCAUGUUGGCCAGGCCGGUCUCGAACUCCUGACCUCAAGUGAUUUGUCUGCCUUGGCCUCCCAAAGUGCUGAGAUUACAGAUGUGAGCCACUGUGCCCUGCUUUUUUUUUUUUUUAAAUUAAUUUUUUAUUUUUGUGGGUACAUAGUAGGUGUAUGUAUGUAUGGAGUACAUGAGAUACUUUGAUUCAGACAUGCAAUGUGUAAUAAUCCCAUCAUGGAAAAAGGGGUAUCCAUCCCUUAGGCAGUUAUCCUUUGUGUUACAAACAAUCCAAUUAUACUCUUAGUUAUCUUAAAAUGUACAAUUACAUUAUUAUUGAUGAUAGUCACCCCGUUGUGCUUUCAAAUCCUUGGCUUUAUUCAUUUUAUCUAAUUCUAAUUUUGUACCCAUUACCCCCACUUUCCUCUACUCCCUCCUCCCCUCCCCAGCCUCUGGUGACCAUCCUUCUUCUCUCCAUGAGUUCAAUUGUUUUAAUUUUUAGCUUCCACAAAUAAGGGAGGAUGAGCAAUGAUUGUCUUUCUGUGCCUGGCUUAUAUCACUUAACAUAAUUUCCUCUGGUUUUAUCCAUGUUGUUGCAAAUGACAGGAUCUCAUUUCUUUUUAGAGCUGAACAGUACUCUACCGUGUGUAUGUACCACAUUUUCUGUCUUCAUUCAUCUGUUGGUGGAUGAUUAUGUUGCUUUCAAAUUUCCCAAUUCAUUGUGAUCUUCUGUGAAAAAGAGGGAUGCGGGCCAGGUGCAGUGGCUCACACCUGUAAUCCUAGUACUUUGGGAGGCUGAAGUGGGUGGAUCACCUGAGGUUGGGAGUUCGAGACCAGCCUGGCCAAUAUAGUGAAACCUUGUCUCUACCAGAAUUACAAAAAAUUAACUAGACGUUGUGGGGGCGAACCUGUAAUCCCAGCUACUCGGGAGUCUGAGGCAGGAGAAUCGCUUGAACCUGGGAGGUGGAGGUUGUAGUGAGCCCAGAUCAUGCCAUUGCACUCUAGCCUGGGUGACAGAGCAGGACUCCGUCUCAAGAAAAAGAAAAAGGGUGCAAAUGUCAACUUCAAGUGGAUAUGGUCUGGGUAAAAUGAGAAAUAUGCACGUAGUGGCCCCCAACAAAUGUUAGUUCUUUUCUGCUAUCACAUCCAAAAGCAAUAACCAACCGAAAUGCGUGUAGUGAGUAUUUGGGCAUUGCUGAAAUAACAGAAAGACCUCCUGACGUCCUUUCCUUCAUUCAUUGAGUUAUGUUCCAUGCUCUUUGCUGACCUAGACUCUACUUACUAAGCGUGGCCCUAUACUAGAGAGACCAAGAAGAAACCAAAAGUCUUUGAACUUCCAGGAUUUUUUUCUGGAGACCCCUAAUCUGGACUACCAGUAAGUGGCCAACACUAGCAGUAAGGGACUGAAACCAACACAGACCUCGAAGCGUGAAGAACCUCCUAAUAUACGAUGCUCUAGCGUAUGUAGCUUGGGAAGAUAGGUACUUAAGAUUGACAAACCAUUUUAGUCUUGGUUUUUGCAGGUAGUGUGGCUGAGCAUUCGGAAUCAAAGGAAUUCUCACUUCAUUUCACCCAGAAGGUCUCUAUGUUUUCUUUCAAACAGACUGUAUUUUUGCUCCCGUCUGUACCCCCCAAGAAGAAAUCUGGGCAAAACUAAGCACAUUCCCUUCAUUUGUGUGUCGGCUGCAGUGGUUCAUAGACUUCAGUAGGUUUCAGAAUCACCUGGAGGACUUGUUGAAACUCCUUAGAAUUUCUGAUUCCUUAGGUCUUGGCGGGGCUUGAGAUUUUGCCUUUUAACCUGCUCGGAGUUCAUGUUGAUGCUCUUAGUCCUGGGUGAAACUUUGAGACCCUCUGUGUAGCCGCGACCUCUACCACAGCAUAGCUCGGCUCUGGCUGAGAUACAUCUCUCUUAUCUGUCAAGAAUGACUCUAAGCACUUUACUACGCUGCAUGUAUUUUGAUUAAGUGGCCAAGGGGGUGGCUAAAGCUGAAUUUACAAGGCAAGGAGCUCUGGAAUUUUUCUUUGAAAGAUCUCACAAAUGAUCUGUUUAUUUUUCAUGGGAUGACAUUUCAGAUCUUCGGUUUGCUUUCCUGUUUGGCUUGUAUUAGAACACUGCUAUUCCUAAAGUUGUAAUUUUUAUAUGUGAGUGGUUUGCACAGGUUCUUGUGGAUUAGGAUUUCUAAUCAUCCAUCCAUCCAUUCAUCCAUCUAUCUAUCCACUUGCCCACACUCCCACCUAUCCAUUCAUCCCUCUGUUAACCCUUACCCCAUCUAUCCCACUCACCCAUCCACUCACCUAUCCAUCCACUCCAUCCAUGUAUCCAUGCAUCCAUGCAUCCAUCCAUCCAUCCAUCCAUCCAUCCAUCCAUCCAUCCAUCUACCUAUCUGGCCCACUCAUCUACCCAUCCAUCCAUCCACCCACUCACCCAUCUAAUCAUAUAUAAUUCAUCCAUCAUGCAUCCAUCCAACAUAAUACACUGGUAGACUAUAGAGAUAUAAAGAAAAAUAAGACUGUGUCUUAUCCUCAAGGGGUUUACGUUACUGUAAGGGAAGCUCCUCUUUUUUGUCUUCUUUAAAGAAAAGUGUGCAUUUCUUGCUUUCUAGUGAGUUGAGCUAAUAGUUGAAUCCAUUAGAUUAAUAUUGACCUUUCUUGUAAACACACAUUUCUUCAGAAAAUGUUUUGAGAAAUCUGCUGACAUCUUGAAGUAAAGGCACAAAUGUCUUUAACCCAGAACUUGGUGUUGAAAAUCAAUUCCUUCUGAGGAAGGUUUUCAUAGCUUCUUGGUGAUGAUGCCAGGAAGGUUUCCUCUGAAUAAGCAUGGUGUGUUUUAGAAACCUCUGCCGUGUUACCCGCUUAUCUUGAAAGACCCGGUAAGCCUGGCCUGUGGCUUCGUGCAAGAUGUUUGUGGAUGGUAUUGAUGGAGCUCCCACUCUGAGUCAGCCUGCACUGCAUACUCAACUAUUAGUGAGCACCCCUGUAAAUAAUUCUAGGCCACCUUCCUUGGGAUCCUUUGACCAGACAGAUUUUGGCAUUUACUGCUAGGUGCGGUAGUAAGCCAGGUGACUGCGUGUCCACCAGUGUGAACUACUUUAAUGGUUCCCAGAGGCUGGAUUUUAAGUGUUAUUAUCACUCUCUGUGUCCCUUCAUCCUCCAAGUGUUUAAAAACUUGAGUUAUAAACUUUUCUUAAAAUACCUGAAUUAUUUUCAUCUCUCCUUAUCCUAGUUUCAUCUUUAUUUAAACACAGGGAGCUUUUUUCAUGGUUGUAGUCAUUAUGGAUAUUCAUUUUUUUUUCUGCUUUUCUCACAUUACAUUAUAUAGUAAAUGUUCUUUCCUGCUCCUACAUAGCUAUGAUAACUCUAUAAUAGUGCAUGGUUUAAUGUACUUUUAUUGCUUUUCCAUUUUCUGUCACUAGUUAUUAGGUCGUUUCUAUUUUUAAAAAAUAAUGAAUGCUUCUAUACCCAGCAUCUAGACUCAGAAAACAAAACUCUUUUUCUGUUCUUUAAAACAAUUACUUACAUUUAUAUGAUGUUAUUUAUAUAUAUAUAUAAUUAUUAUUGUUAUUAUAUUUUUAAAUACGCUUGAUAUAGUUAGUCAGACUUUCCUCCCAAAGAAUUCAGGCAAUUCAUUUAUCUCUCUGCCAAAACUGGGCUUUGCGGUCUUUCUUUGUUUUGUUAAUUCAGUAAUUUUAAAGAGUGUGCCGACUGUUUUGAUUUGCAUUUCUUUAAUUACUGACAUCAUUAAAUCCAUUUUCAGUAAUUGGCUUAUUAAAGGAGUUUUUAAUGUGUUUGUGUAUGUGCUGGAAACUAUUGCAGUGUUUUUCCUGUGUAUGAGGUAUUUAUAUAUACAUACUGUUCGUGUGUGUGUACGUGUGCGGCUUAAUACUGUACAUGUGUGGGUUUUGCAGUGUUACUGGUUUUCUUUUCAUGCGCUUUUUUCUGGCUUCAUAAAUUGAUGCCUGCUGUCUGCUAGGAACUCAGUUACUGAGUGAAUGAAUGUUUAUCUUUGCUUUCAGUCUCUUCUGUUACAAACAUUUCCAAAACUCUUACAUGGAAGGACGAUGUUCUUUUAUUUUAUUCCAGGUUUUUCUAUUUGAUUUGUGAUAUUUAGCAUUGUUUUAGGUCACAAAAGUUAGAUUGGAUACGGAUCUAAGUUUGUUUUUCUCCAGUUUUUUUGUUUGAUUUCUCUCCUAAUGCAUGCCAUGUUUGUUUCAAACAUAUGCUAAUAUUUAAUGAAGAAAAUCCUCUUUUAUUCAUUCCUUUCCCCCAAAUAGUAUUUUUUCCCCAUUUUUUUCUGUUUUAAAUUGCUUUUAACACAAAACAGUAUAAAUAAGCAAUGAAAAGCUUUCAAGGGCAAAAGGAGUAUGAAGUGCAGGCGUUUAUUCUGUAGCGUCAGUGAAAUACAAUUGGAAAAAUUGUAAUUAAAUUAAAAUAAUUCAU